rnacentral:lncRNA from 1 species
AUCAACAUUACCUGCCCAGUUUGCAUCACAAUACCCUACAAGCAUACAAUUAGAACUAUGAGAAUACAACAUGCCAUACUCACUAGUACCGUUAAUGUUUUUCAAGAUCCUCUUCACUUAAAUAAUAUGACGGAUUUUAGGCUCUGUCUGAUAUCUAGCAUAUACUCAUACAACAAAAGUGAUGUCUGGUCUGCUAGUUGUAAUAUAUAAAAGACUAUGAAUCAUACUCUUGUACAAACUUUGAUCCACAUCAACACCUUUUUCAUCCUUAGUUAAUUUCAAGUGAGUUGUUGCAGGUGUCUUUUUGUGACUAGCACUUUCUAAGCCAAACUUUUUCACUAUAUUCUUAGCAUAUUUUCUUUGAGAAAUGAAGAUAGUAUCAUCCAUUUAUUUAACUUGAAGACCAAGAAAAUAGGUUAAUUCACCAACAAGACACAUCUGAAAUUUAGAUUGCAGUUGCUUAACAAAAUGUUGAACCAUCUGGUUCGACAUCCCUCCAAACACAAUGUCAUCAACAUAUAUUUAGGCUAUCAUGAGUUUACCAUGCUCUUCUUUAAUAAACAAGGUCUUGUCUGUUCCCCCUUUCCUGUAGCCAUUGUUGACAAGUAACUCAAUUAACCUUUCAUACCAAGCCCUAAGUGCUUGCUUUAAACCAUAUAUAGCUUUAUUUAGUUUGAAAACAUCAUUUGGAAAGCUAUGAUCUAUGAACCCCUUGGGUUGUUCUGAAGGAGAAUUGCGAUCCAAAACGUAGCGGAAAUUAUUCUCCUUUAGAGAUCCUUACGAAUGGUCAUGAUCAGUGAUAGAAUAUUUACCUCUUGUGACGAUUGAAACCUUUGGUGCAGAUCUCUUAUGACGAUCAAAACCUUUGAUGCAGAUCCACGGAGCGAUCACGAACGUUGAACGAUGACAACGUCUCUACUCAGUCUACACGAACGGAUUCCUUCAAUCUCAGUGCUAGCUGGUACGAAUGAAGGCUUUGAGUGAGAGAGAGAGAGAGAGAAAACGAAAAUAAUGCAACCGCAAUGAAUGCUUCUACACAAGGGUUCUAUUUAUAGAACCACUUGUGUGGGCUUCAAGCUAAAAAGCCCACUUAAGUGUAUUUUGGCCCAUAUCUUAUAAUAUGCCCAAAAUCACUUAAGCCCAUGGUACCUUACCAUAUUUCGUAUUCUACUCAAGUACACCGUACCUUACGAUGUUCUAUAAUUCACUUAAGGGCACCGUACCUUACGGUAUUCCUUAGUUACUCUAUCUCUCAUCAAUCCGUCCUUUGUGUGUGACCCUGUAGGUUUUCGCGACGUUGGCAAUUAUAUUAAAUCACGCAUUUAACAUAAUAAACAGUGAGCGGUAUCUAGCAACACAUCACUGCUACCCAAGACACGAAAAUGUCAUGUGAUCUGACAAUUCCUUCUGUGAUAAUACUUAUGUGUAUAAUUACCCUUUUGCCCUUAUGUCUAUAUUGAACACAAGGCAUAGACCGUGUCAUCCUUGUCCAGUUCAAUAUUGGGCCCAUAGACAUUUAUCCUGUUAUGCAGGAUGGGCAAAUUCCAUCUAGGUCACUCAUGUCCCUCAGCAUGCUUCGUGGAGUACCCAUCAACUGUCUUUAUGGUUAUCCAGUUACGGACAACGUUGGAUCAGCAAUAAAGCACUCGACUCUACAUCUAGGGUCCAUAGUGGUUUCAGGUCGAAGAGUGGUAUACACCAUUAUCACCAUGAGAAUAACUUAUGACACUUUGCAUAACUUUCUAUAUAGUAUUCUCAUAGCGGGUCAAUCCGGUAUAAAUAUUACUCUUAAUAUUCAUACCUAUGUUUAAGACUUGAUAACUCCUUAUCCAUGAUCCAUGAGAUGUGAUCAUCAGUCUACAAACAUAAUAGUCUUAAUGCUUUAAUGUUAUCCCACUUCACAAUAAAGCUCGACUACGGAUACUUUAAGAAUAGUGUCCUUAUGUUUAAUGUGAUCUCAUGAUUAAGUCAUACUUGAUACAUUAAACAGACUAGCUAUUCUAGGGACUUUAUUAAACAAACAUAAUAAAGAAAAAACCUUUUAUUAUUAAUAAAUAAUUCGAUACAAGUACCAAAAGUAUUGGCCUCUAGGGCUUACACCAACAAUCUCCCACUAGCACUAGAUCCAAUCAUGCAUACCCCUAAUGCCCAUAGAUCUAGUAUGGCCAUCAUGCUUCUGCCGCGCAAGAGGCUUUGUCAGUGGGUCAACAAUAUUUUCAAGUGUAGGUUAUCUGCAUAUUUUCACAUCUCCUCUAUCUAUCAUCUCUCGAAUGAGGUGAUAACGCCUAAGUAUGUGUUUGGAUCGUUGGUGAGAUCUAGGCUCCUUGGCUUGUGCGAUAGCACCAUUGUUAUCACAGUAGAGACCAAUGGGAUCUACAAUGCUAGGAACUAUGCCAAGUUCACUAAUGAACUUUUUGAUCCAAACAGCUUCCUUUGCUGCACUUGAGGCAGCAAUAUACUCGGCCUUGGUUGUAGAAUCAACAAUUGUAUCUUGCUUUGAACUUUUCCAGCUCACAGCGCCACCAUUUAAGCAAAACACAUAACCAGAUUGCGAUCUAAAGUCAUCCUUAUCUGUCUGGAAGCUAGCAUCGGUGUAUCCAAUUACAGCCAACUCUUCCUGACCUCCAUAUAUCAAGAAUGAGUCCUUAGUCCUUCUUAAAUACUUAAGGAUAUUCUUGACAGCUACCCAGUGAGCAUCACCAGGAUCAGAUUGGUACCUACUCGUUGCACUUAAAGCAUACGAGACAUCUGGUCGAGUACAUAACAUGGCAUACAUGAUAGAUCCUAUUGCAGAUGCAUAUGGAAUCUUAUUCAUGCGAUCCCUUUCUUCCUUAGUUAAAGGGGAUUGUGUUUUUGAUAGACACAGGCCAUGUUGCAUAGGUAUGAAUCCUUUCUUGGAAUCAUGCAUAUUAAAGCGUCUCAACACUUUGUCUAUGUAUGUACUCUGACUUAGGCCAAGCAGUUUUUGUGAUCUAUCUCUAUAGAUUCUGAUUCCUAAUAUAUAGGCUGCUUCACCUAGGUCCUUCAUAGAAAAGCAUUUCCCCAACCAAGACUUUACUUGUUGUAGGGUAGGGACAUCGUUUCCAAUGAGUAAUAUGUCAUCUACAUAUAAUACCAGGAAAACGAUCAUGCUCCCACUAACCUUCUUGUAGACACAAGGCUCAUCUUCGUUCUUGAUGAAUCCAUAUUGUUUUACUGUUUCAUCAAAACGAAGAUUCCAGCUUCUGGAAGCUUGCUUCAAUCCAUAGAUUGAUCUUUGUAACUUACAUAUCUUUUGGGCUUCCUCUGGUAUGUCAAAUCCUUCAGGCUGUGUCAUGUACACAUCCUCAAGAAGAUUUCCAUUAAGGAAAGCAGUUUUGACAUCCAUCUGCCAUAUUUCAUAAUCAUGAUAUGCAGCGAUAGCAAGUAAAAUCCGAACAGAUUUAAGCAUUGCAACUGGUGAAAAGGUUUCAUCAUAGUCAACCCCAUGAAUUUGUUUAUAUCCUUUUGCAACCAGUCUUGCCUUAUAGGUAUGUACCUUACCAUCCAUGUCAGUCUUCUUUUUGAAGACCCACUUGCAUCCUAUAGGGUUAACUCCUACAGGAGGCUCUACCAAGGUCCAAACUUGGUUUGUGUACAUGGAAUCCAUUUCAGAUUUCAUGGCUUCUAGCCACUUCUCAGACUCGGGACCAGUUAUGGCCUCUUGGUAGGUCACAGGCUCAUCUUGAUCCAUGAGUAAUACAUCACCUUGAUCAGUUAUGAGAUAUCCAUAUCUCUCAGGUAGGUGACGUAUCCUGCUUGACCUACGCUGGUCUUGUUCUACUUGAGCAGGUUGCUCUUCCACAACUUCUUGUGUUUCCUGCUCUAAUUCCUCCAUAGGUGUAUCUAUGCUUUGUGAUUCUUGAAUUUCUUCAAGCUCUACUUUCCUCCCACUGGUUCCUUUGGAAAUAAAAUCCUUUUCUAGGAAAACUCCAGUUCGAGCGACAAACACUUUGCCCUCAGAAGGAUUGUAGAAGUAAUACCCUCUUGUUUCUUUAGGAUACCCCACAAAUAAGCAUUUGUCAGAUUUGGGCUCAAGCUUAGUUGAAAUUUGUCGUUUCACAUAAACUUCGCAACCCCAAAUCUUCAUGUAAGACAUAUGUGGUUUCUUACCACUCCAUAUCUCAUAUGGUGUCUUCUCAACCUUUUUGGAUGGAACACGGUUAAGUGUGUAAGCUGCUGUCAAUAGUGCAUGUCCCCAAAAGGAGUUUGGAAGAUCGGCGUGACUCAUCAUGGAUCGGACCAUGUCUAACAGGGUUCGAUUUCUUCUCUCAGAUACACCAUUCCAUUGGGGUGUUCCAGGAGGAGUAAGUUGGGAUAGGAUCCCACACUCUUUCAGAUGGUCAUCAAACUCUAGGCUUAAAUACUCACCACCUCGAUCUGAUCGAAGAGUUUUAAUAUUCUUACCUAGUUGGUUUUGUACUUCAUUCUUGAAUUCCUUGAACUUUUCAAAGGACUCUGAUUUGUGUUUCAUUAAAUACACAUAACCAUAUCUACUGAAAUCAUCAGUGAAUGUGAUGAAGUACUGAAAACCUCCUCUGGCUGGUAUGUUCAGUGGUCCACAUACAUCAGUAUGUAUGAGGGCCAAAAGAUCAUUAGCUCUUUCACCUUUUCCUGUGAAUGGAGACUUUGUCAUCUUUCCAAUUAAACAAGAUCUGCAUGUCUCAUAUGAUUCAUAAUCAAAAGAGUCCAAGAGUCCAUCUUUAUGGAGUUUGGAAAUGCGUUUCUCAUUUAUGUGGCCUAAUCGACAAUGCCAAAGGUAAGUUGGAUUUAACUCAUUAGGUUUCAUCCUUUUAGUAUUAAUGUUAUAAAUAGGCAUUUCAAGAUCAAGGACAUAUAGUCCAUUGUUCAUUUGUGCAGUAGCAUAGAAUAUAUCAUUCAAAUAAAUUGAGCAACAAUUGUUCUUUAUUAUAAAUGAAAAACCAAACUUGUCCAAACAAGAAAUGGAAAUAAUAUUCUUGCUAAUUGCAGGUACAUAAUAACAGUUCUCUAACUGAAUUAUUAAACCACUAGGUAAAGUCAAUACAUAUAUUCCUACGGCUAAAGCAGUAACCUUUGCUCCAUUGCCAACUCGUAGGUCAACUUCACCUUUUGCCAAAUCUCUACUUCUUUUUAGCCCCUGCACAUUUGUACAAAUGUGAGAACCACAUCCAGUAUCUAAUACCUAUGAUGCAGAAGUAGAUAAAUUUAUUUCAAUAACAAAAAUACCUGAAGUUGAAGUCUCUACUCCAUUCUUCGUAUCUUCCAGGUACUUUGGGCAGUUUCUCUUCCAGUGUCCGGUUGGAAGCAGGUUCCUGCCUUUGCUAUGCCUCCACUAGGCUUCAAAGCAGCAACAGUGGGUCUGGGUUUGGCAACUUCCUUGCGUUUCCCUUUAUCACACUGCUUGAUGGGCCUUUUGUUCUGUCUCUUUCCAUUUCCGAUCAUCAGAAUGGACUUCCCUUUUGACUUCAGGUUCUGCUCAGCAGUUCUUAACAUGCCUAGCAGUUCAGGAAGCGAUUUGUCCAUGUCAUUCAUAUUGAAAUUUAGGACAAAUUGACUGAAUCUAUCUGGCAACGAUUGCAAGAUCAAAUCAGUCACAAGUUCCUUUCCGAGGGGAAAACCUAACCUUUCAAGGUUUUCCACAUACCCAAUCAUCUUGAGUACAUGGGGACUUACAGGAGCUCCCUCAGCUAACUUGCUUUGAAAAGGGGCUUUUGAAACUUCAAACCUUUCAUUCCUUGCUUGCUCUUGAUAGAGCGUCUUCAGGUGUUCGAUCAUAUCGAAUGCUUCCAUGUUCUCAUGUUGCUUUUGAAACUCUGAGUUCAUGGUAGCUAGCAUGAGACAAGCAGUUUCAUUGGCAUCAUCGACAUGCUUCUUAUAAGCAUCUCUUUCUGCCUUAGGUGCAGAACUAGGAGGUUCCUCUUCAGGAACAGGUUUCUCCAAGACAUACAACUUUCUAUCAUGUUUGAGGAUAAUCCUCAGAUUUCGGUGCCAAUCCAGAAAAUUUGUCCCAGACAAUUUUUCCUUGUCAAGGAUUGAUCGCAAGAUGUUGUUAGAGGUGUUUGCUGUCAUGGUUAUCUACAUAAGGAUUAAGAAAAUAUAAGUAUCAUUGACAUAUUUAAUUAGGCCUUUAUUCAAAUAUGCUCCCACUAUUUUACUCAAAACAAAUGACCCUCAUCAUUUGAUUCGGAAAAUCCCGUUGGAAGAUUUUCUAGUGGGUCGAGAUCCAUAUUUCACUUCGUUCUAAGUCCGCGUAGGCGGAUUACACAAAACUAGGUUAUUUAGGUAGGAACUCCUUCCAAUUGUAUCUAAUACAACUCUCGAAAAUUUCAGUUGGGUGAAUAACUCCUUAUUCCAAUCCAUCAUAUGGAUCAUUUCCAACUCUUGCUUCUAAACGUAUAUAAUCUUAUUAUAGUUUGUUUAGUUAAGUUUGGCCCAUUGUUUUAGCAGUUGAAUAUUACAAUUAUCCCAUCGCACCUUACUAAUAUAAAACAUGCACCUCGCGUAGGCGAAACCUACAUUAUCCGAUACUAGUCUUGAUGAGUGCUAAAACUUGGAAAGCAUAAACUUAAUAUUUUAAUUUGAGGGAAUUGCAAUUAUUCUGAUCUCACCUGCUUAUUUAUCAUAUAAAUCGUCUCUCACAUGCAAAAACAUACAUUCACAGGCAUCAACAUACAUACACAUGCAUCAACAUACAUAAUGAAACAGUUAUGGGCCCUAGCGCAAUUGUUCUCCCAAGCCAAUGAGAGAACCUAAGCUAACCUAAUAACGAUCUAAGCUUCUCCAAGCAAAACAUAAUGAAACAGUUAUGGGCCCUAGCGCAAUUGUUCUCCCAAGCCAAUGAGAGAACCUAAGCUAACCUAAUAACGAUCUAAGCUUCUCCAAGCAAGAUCUUCAAGGUUGUCCUCCUUUGAUAUUGAAUACUUCUCUUUCUUCAUAACAUUGUCCUCCUUUGAUAUUGAAUUCUUCUCUUUCUUCAUAACAUUACAUUACAGAAGAACUCGUUUUACAUACGAGAGAUUGAGAUGAGAAAAGAAGUUACAUUAAGAGAUUAAAAGGAGAGGCACAACACGCAAGUCGUAUUUUAAAACCCAAAACAAGAUAAAGGAUAACUAAGGCCAUAACUGAUCACCACAAGGCAAUAAUAAUAAACACAUUAUUAUUAUUAAUUUUAAUUCCUUUAAUUACUUAAAACCAAAUCAAAUUUCGACGACCGAUCACACUACGCAGAGUUAGCCGGGGGUCCGCUGCCCGGUCAGCGGCCGAAAAUUUUAAUGAACAAUUCAUUUGAAAUCGGCGUCCUUUUGCAUCGACACAACUCUUACGCAGUCACAAAACAGAAACCCCGAGAACUCUGACUCUGUGAGUGUGACGACCGUCACAAGCAUGUUACGACCGUCACAGGCCCAUGACGAACGUCACGCAGCCAAAAACAGAAACGCCUAGAAUUCUGGAUCUGUGAAUGUGACGACCGUCACAAAGCACGUGACGUCCGUCACGUCCAGCUUGUUACGAUCGUCACAAGUCCAUGACGAUCGUCACGCGGCCAAAAACCACCGCUUUGAAACAGUCAACAGAUGUGUUCCAACAAGCCCUUAAUUCACAACUUCUUGACGACACAACCCUUGCGCCGUCACUAACCCUAAUGCACCAAUUUCAGACCGUCAAACACACCUCGAUUGUUGAUUCAGUAUGAUUGAUCAACAGGUCAUUGCUUCACCAUACUAAUGUCGGAUACUAAUGUCGGAUUCCGAAGCAAAUGACCAUUGAUCGCUCAAAGGAAAACAACCAUUUAGUGUUUGAAUGAACGAAACAGAAACAGUAUAUCAUAUAUAUCAUAUUUUGCAUUAGGAUUACUUAUAUCGUAUAUAAGUUGAUCGGUCUCAAUUGCGUAACCUAUGGACAAUCGGUGUAUCGCUGCUUCACCAUACUAAUGUCAGUUCCGAAGCAUAGUCAACAUCAAUCAUCCAACUCGUACACUCAUGAUGCCAAAUUUAAUUACCCGUUUAAUUAAUUGAUUCAUUCUGUCUUUUAGUCAUAUUAAUAUAGAAAAUAAACAACUAUCUGAUUCAUGGUUUCGUAAGUGGCUCUGAUACCACUGAAGGAGAAUUGCGAUCCAAAACGCAGCGAAAAUUAAAAUUUUCUCCUUUAGAGAUCCUUAUGAAUGGUCAUGAUCAGUGAUAGAAUAUUUACCUCUUGUGACGAUUGAAACCUUUGGUGCAGAUCUCUUGUGACGAUCAAAACCUUUGAUGCAGAUCACGGAGCGAUUACGAACUGAACGAUGAAACCGUCUCAAUACUCCGCCACGAACUGGAUCAUCUAAUCUCAGUGCUCAGCUGUACGGAAUGCAAGGCUUUGAGUGGUGAAGAGCAAGAGAGAGAGAGAGAGAGAGAAAACGAAAAUAAUGCAACCGCAAUAGAUGCUUCUGCACCAAGUUCUAUUUAUAGAACCAUGGUGGGUGUCAGCUAAGAAGUCCACUUAAAGUAUUUUGGGCCCAUUACUUAAUGAGAUACCCAAAUCACUAUAAGCCCAUGGUCUCUACCUAUUUCGUAUUCUACUCAAGUACACCGUACCUUACGAUGUUCUACAACUCACUUAAGUGCACCGUACCUUACGGUGUUCCUUAGUUACUCUAUCUCUCAUCAAUCCGUCCUUUGUGUGUGACCCUUUAGGUUUUCGUGACAUUGGUAAUUAUAUUAAAUCAUGUAUUUAACAUAAUAAACAAUGAGCGGUAUCUAGCAACACAUCACUGUUACCCAAGACACGAAAAUGUCAUGUGAUCUGACAAUUCCUUCCGUGAUAAUACUUAUGUGUAUAAUUACCCUUUUGCCCUUAUGUCUAUAUUAAACACAAGGCAUAGAUCGUGUCAUCCUUGUCCAGUUCAAUAUUGGGCCCAUAGACAUUUCUCCUGUUACGCAGGAUGGGCAAAUUCCAUCUAGGUCACUCAUGUCCCUCAGCAUGCUUCGUGGAGUACCCAUCAACCGUCUUUAUGGUUAUCCAGUUACGGACAAUGUUUGAUCAGUAAUAAAGCACUCGACUCUACAUCCAGGGUCCAUAGUGGUUUCAGGUCGAAGAGUGGUAUACACCAUUAUCACCAUGAGAAUAACUUAUGACACUUUGCAUAACAUUCUAUAAGUAUUCUCAUAGCGGGUCAAUCCGGUAAUAAUAUUACUUCUAUAAUUCAUACAUAUGUUAGACUUGAUAACUCCUUAUCCAUGAUCAUGAGAUGUUGAUCAUCAGUCUAUAUACAUAAUAGUCUAAUGCUUAAUGUUAUCCCACUUCACAAUAAAGCUUGACUAUGGAUAUUUUAAGAAUAAUGUCUUAUGUUUAUGUAUCUCAUGAUUAAGUCAUACUUGAUACAUAAACAGACUAGCUAUUCUAGGGACUUUAUUAAACAAACAUAAUAAAGAAAAAGCCUUUUAUUAUUAAUAAAUAAUUCGAUACAAGUACCAAAAGUAUUGGCCUCUAGGGCUUACACCAACAUGUUCAACAUAUAAUUCUUCAUUUAAGUACCCAUUCAAGAAGGCAUUUUUCACAUCCAUCUGGAAUAACUUGAAUUUUAGCAUACAUGCCAUUCCCAAGAGCAAUCUUAUAGAUUCAAGACGAGCAACAGAUGCAAAAGUCUCAUCAAAAUCAACCCCUUCAAUUUGAGUGUAUCCUUGAGCAACAAGCCUAGCCUUGUUUCUGGUCAUAAUUCCAUUUUCAUCAGAUUUGUUCUUGUAAAUCCAUUUUGUGCCAAUAACAUUCAUCCAUUCAGGCCAAGGAACUAGGUCCCAUACUUUAUCCCUUUUGAAUUGUCCUAAUUCUUCUUGCAUAUCAUUGAUCUGUAAUUUAAUAAUCAAGGCCUCCUUCACAUUUUUAGGUUUAAACUCUGAGACAAAGCAAACAUUGGAUAUCACAUCUCUAGAUCCAAUGGUGAUCCCUUCAUUAAGAUUUCCAAUGAUAAGUUCCUUUGGAUGAUCUUUCUGAAUUCUAAUAGAGGGACCUUUAUUGGCUUGAGGGUUAUCUAAUUCAGUCCUUGCUGGCUCAAUGUUGGACUCAAUGUCUUCCAUAUUUUUUGAAGCAUCAGUCUGCUGAGAUGAUGUUCCAACAUCUUCAUCGACAUCAGUCCCUUUCAUAAUAAUUGAAUCAUCAACCACAACAUUAAUGGAUUCCAUCACAACCUUGGUUCUGGAUUUAAAUACCUUGUAAGCUCUAUUAUUUGUAUAGUAACCAAGAAAUAUCCCUUCAUUACUUUUGGGAUCCAUCUUUCUCCUCUGUUCAUGAACAACCAGAAUGUAGCAUUUACUCCUAAGCACAUGAAAAUGUUUAACAAUAGGUUUCCUUCCUUUCCAUAAUUCAUAGAGAGUACAUGAUAUACCAUCUCUCAUAGUAACACGAUUGUGGAUAUAGCAAGCAGUGUUAAUUGCUUCAGCCCAAAAAUGAUAAGGAAGAUUUUUUGGAUGAAGCAUGACUCUAGCCGAUUCUUGUAAUGUUCUGUUCUUAUGUUUUAUAACUCCAUUUUGCUGAGGAGUGAUGGGAGAUGAUAACUCAUGACCAAUACCUUCAGAAGAAAAAAAUUCAUAGAAUUUUUCAUUUUCAAAUUCCUUCCCAUUGUCACUCCUGAUUCUAACAAUCACACUUUCCUUUUCUCUUUGAAGACGUUAACAAAGGCCUUUGAAUACCUCAAAAGUGUCUGAUUUUUCUUUGAUACAAUUCACCCAAGUAAACCUUGAAAAAUCAUCAACAACCACAUAUACAUUCCUCUUUCCACAAAUACUUUCAACUUGCAUAUGCCCCAUUAAGUCCAUAUGAAGAAGUUAUAGAGCUCUGGAAGUAGUCUGAUGUUGCAACUUCGGGUGUGACAUCUUGGUUUGCUUCCCAAUUUGACACUCACCACAAACUUUACCCUCCUUAAUUUUUAGUUUUGGUAGACCUCUAAUAUCUUCUUCAGACAUAAUCUUCUUCAUACCUUUGAGAUUCAUAUGUCCAAGCUUCUGGUGCCACAACCUGACUUCAUCUUCCCUAAACAUCAAACAUGUGGAAGAAUAAGUAGUUUCUUGUGGUACCCAUAAAUAGAAGUUGUCUUUAGACAUAACCCCCUCAUCAGAACUUCAUUCUUCUCAUUGGCAACCAAACAUUCUGACUUGGUAAAAUUGAACUUUAGACCUUGAUCACAUAACUGACUAAUGCUGAUCAGAUUAGAAGUCAAUCCUUUUAUAAGAAGAACAUCAUAAAGUCUAGGAAGUCCAGUAUACAGUAACUUUCCUAUCCCUUUAAUUUCACCUUUACCUUCAUCACCAAAAGUGACAAAACUGGUGGAAUAAGACUUAAUAUCCACUAAAUACUUCUUGACACCUAUCAUAUGUCUAGAAUAUCCACUGUCAAAGUACCAGUCUUCUCUAGGUUAAGCUCGAAAAGUAGAAUGGGCUAUAACACAAGUAUCAACAACCAUAUGUUUCCAUUCAUUUCUAGUUUUAAUCAUCACAUGAUCACCCCUAGGAUAUGUUGGAUGUUUUGGAUAACCAUACAGUCUAUAACAUAAAGGCUUUAUAUGUCCAUAUUUACCACAGUAAUGAUAUUCCAAGGCAAAAACUUGACUUUAGUUUGGGUUUCCUGAUGUCUCAUAGGAUGUUGUAACAUUUGGUCGAACAUCAUGGGUUUUUUACUUUCAGAGAUUGGUAAUCAAAACCUAUACCUUUUAAGUUUCCAGCCCCUUUUCCAACUUGAAGAAUUUCAUCUAACAUAUCAGAUCCAUUGUUCAACAUUCUUACUGAUUUGGUCAUGUUUUCAAGUUUAGAAUUCAAAAGGGUUACCUUAUUUUCAAGAUCAGUGAAAGUAUAUGAAAGUUUAUCUUUUUCAGCCUGUAGUUGAGUUAUGAUUCUCUUCUACUUUUCUCCUAUCUUCCAAACCUCUUCGAUUCUGACAGAAGGCUCUUUGUAGGAAGCAUACAAUUCUUCAUAAGAGACAUCCUUAUCACAUAAAUCUUAAUCAUAUUCAUAUAUACCAGUGAAAGUUGUAACAUGCUUAGAAGUUUCAUCAUCAGUUUCACCUUCAGAAUCAUUAGACCAAGAAACAGACAAACCCUUCUUUUAUUUCUUGAGAUACAUGGGACAUUCUGAUCUAAUGUGACCAAAACCCUCACAUUCAUGACACAAAAUACCUUUUCCUUAAUUGGGAUUUUCCUAUGUUCUUGCUUUUCUCUGAGAAUCGUUGUUCUUACUGAUGUCGAAUGACAUGUUCUUGACAUAAAUAUUAACUUCCUAUCUAUUUUCUUCAACACCUUAUUGAAUUUCCUCCCAAGAAGCAGAACGUCAUUGGAAAUUCCUUCAUCAAUAUCCAAGUCACAUUGAUCCUCUUCAUCCUCAGUGUUGGAGAUAAAAGUUAUGCUCUUGUUCUUCUUUUCAGAUCUAUCAUUGAUAGCCAAUUUAAAAGUUUGAAGUGACCCAAUAAGCUCAUCCACUUUCAUGUUGCAAAUGUCUUGUGUUUCUUAAAUAGAUUUGACCUUCACGUCAAACAUCUUAGACAAAGACCUGAAGAUUUUUCUAACAAGUUUAUCCUCUGACAUCUUCUCUCCCAAGGCACUAGAUGAAUUGGCAAUAUCAAGAAUAUUCAUGUGAAAAUCAUGAAUACACUCAUCAUCUUUCAUCCUGCGAUUCUCAAAUUUGGUGGUGAGAAGUUGAAGUUUUGAGAUUUUUACUUUUAAUGUGCCUUCAUGAGUGGUUCUGAGGAUUUCCCAUGCAUUUUUUCCAUAGUACAAGUAUUUAUUAACCUGAAUAUAUUUUUUUCAACUCCAUUGAAUAAGGCAUUCAAGGCGAUGAAGUUUCCAAGAGCAAGUUCAUCUUUGUCCUUAGACCAGUCCUCUUCAGGCUUCAAAUUAGUUGUAUCAUUCCCAUCUUUGUCUUGCACCACAUGAUGUUCUCAACCUUUGAUAAUUGCUUUCCCGGUUAUGUUAUCCAUAAAUUUUAGAAAUGCCAUCAUAUGUGCCUUCCAGUAAUCAUAGUUGAUACCAUCCAGAAUAGGUGGUAUGUUGAUAAAUCCUCCUUCCUUGUCCAUAGUACUAGAAAUUAUCUCCCUAGAGCUCACCCAAAAUAGAACAGGGUGCCUGCUCUGAUGCCAAUUGAAAUUCGGGUACACAGAUAACAGAUGUCGUAUACAAUGUCACAACACUAGGAUUAAGACAUGUCACACCAGAAACAAGUAUGCAAAUAAUAGAUGUCGUAUACGAUGUCACCACACCAGGAUUAUGACAUGUCACACCAGAAACAAUUAUAGUGUUAAAGUAAAUACCAGGAAGUAAAUAACACAAAUCAAUUGUUAACCUAGUUUGGUGCAACAUCACCUACAUCUGGGGGCAUCCAAGCCAGUAAGUAAACCCACUAUAAUAGUAUUAGUUUGAAGUUCUAAACAACCUCUGAUUUUACAAACUUCUCAUCUAAUCACUACCGUUGGAAUUUUUAUCUAAGACUCUCCUAGAUAUUAGACCCUUCUCAUUUACCUUUAAUCACACAACAGUGAUAACAACUUCUAACAAUAAACAGAAUACACACCUACAAUGAAACAAAAUCCACUAUUGCUUAAAAUCUCAUGAGUGAUUCACAAUUAUAACUCAAAAAACUUUGUCCAAUUCAAUCAUCUAAGUGAUACAAGAAUGGCUCACAAAUAAUAAUGAACAAACUAAACCCUAACAUAGACUAUUACAUACGCAACUUAGUUAUUUUCUUAGGUUUAGAAUCAUCCUUUAAAUAGACCUAGAAUAGUAUGGGCUUCGGGCUAAAAAAUCAACAUAUCCAUAACAAAUAAAAUCACAUCAAAUCUGAUCAACUUAAAUAUGAUGUAUCCUUAAAUGUUUUGACAUCCAUUCUGCACAAUCUUCUGCAGAAUUAAAUCAAAUCUAAUGUUUUCUUAAAUGUUUUGACAUCCGUUCUGCAUAAUCUUCUGCAGAAUCAAAUCAAAUAUAAUAUUUCCUUAAAUGUUUUGACACUAAUACUUAGGAAACAUUGCACAGCUAGAACCGGUCUUUAAGCUUCUAAAAAAGCCCUUUGAACCGCAUAAUGCGUGAAAUAAAUCAUCAAAGAAUCUUCACUAAUCUCAUGCUAAAAAACAAAUCUUCCAAGAAUGUAAAACCACAACACGCCAUGAUGUCGUACAAGCAUGUCAAGACAUCUUGUCCAACAUCUUUCUAUUUCACUUGUUUCAACAAAAUGCUGCAAAUCACAAAACAGACAACCUAACAUUAUGUAUCUUUUCCAUUGCAUGAAAAAUGCAUUUAUGCUUUCAUGUCCUUUUGUUUAUUGAAUUCUUAUGUUGCAACCUUUUAUGACAAUUGUGAAUUGAAUAUUAUAUUGCUAUACUUGGUUGUGUGUUUAUGAUUUAGUUGUAUUUUUCAAUUAAGACAUAAUUUCAUGUGAGUGUUUGUCUUAAUUGAUUCAUUUAAUCUUUGCAACGCCUUUGAGUAUGUUUAAUUCUAUAUGUUGUUGUGUAAUGAUUCAUGAUGCUUCUCACGUUUUUCUGUCUUUAUCUCUUUUUGAUGUUGUCAAAAGGGGGGAAACACAAGGUUUAUGAUGCACAUAUUCAGGGGGAACUUUGCAAAAGACAACAAGAGUUCCUAGUAUAUUUUUCCAUCAUCAAACAGAGGGAUUAUGUGAGUGUAAUAUUCUCUUAGAUAGUAUUUUGAAUGAUGUCAAAACUUGGUAGGUUAGAUCUUUGUGUAUUUGGACUUUACAAUCUUAAAUGUGCAUCAUCGUCAUAGUAAAACAUGUAAGACUAGAUUACAUAAGUCAUCACAUGCUAAAAUAUGAGUUUUUCACAAAAGACAUGCAUGGGUCGAUACAUGUUGAGUAUGGGUUGAUACACACUGAGUGGAUUUUCAAAGAAUUCAAAACUACCUCAAAUGGGUCGAUAUAAAGGAUAAAUGGGUUGAUACAUCCUAUGAAUGGUUCGACUCGUUCUUGUUUGGGUCGACUCAAUCUGAAAGAUGUUUUUCAAAGAUUUGUCGCUGCUUCUAAUGGGUCGAUACAAAGGAGAAAUGGGUCGAUACAUUGAGCGAAUGAGUCAACUCUCCCGUGUUUGGAGUAGACUCAUCCUGAAACUUUUUCUUUACAAAUUGUCUACUGCCUCUAAUGUAUUAACUCUAUUUGAUUUCGUAUUGGCUCAUUCAGCUGAUGUAUUGACUCAUUUCAUUUUAGAGUCAAUACAUUUUGUACCAAAUUUUAAAAUUGCAUUUUGGCUAAAAAAAUGUUUUACUCAUUUCUUUUCUACACUCACACAUACAUAUAAAUACGCAUUCAUGCAUCAUUUUUAAGUAAUUGAAACCUGAAAGACACAAAGAAUUUUCAUCAUCUUUAACCUCUCUUGACGCAUUCAUCAACUACACAUAAUCAUUUAUGAUUGUUUGUUGGGAAGAAAAUUUUGAUAAUGUCUAAUUUAGGUUUGUGUAAUCAAAUUGGGUUGAGGUUUUCUUUGCGGGUUUCGAGGAUAAAAUCGUUAGGGUUUUUACUCCAAGAUCAAGGGUUAAUUUGGAGUUUUUUGCACAACCCUUGUUAACUUAGAUUCAGCGAAGCGAAGGCUCUGAAGAACGGGGGUUCUUGUAAAGGAGUAACGGUAACCAGAGGUUAAAAUGAAAGGCUUGGGACAAGAUUUUGCAAUUUGGAUUCAGCUGAAUGAAAGCUUUGAAGAACAUAAUGUUCAGUCAAAAGAGUAAUGGUAACUGAAGGAUCAUAUUGGAGAUCUUAUAUGACUUGAUCUUGCUAAGAUCAAGGAUAGAGAAUGAGCUAUGAUUAACAUUAAACAUAGGGUUUAGGGUUUGAAUUUCUACUACUUCUCUUGUAAAUUGAUAUUGCUAAGGUUAAUUACAAUAUCUCUAUUCAAUUUUGAAUUGAGGACAGACGUGCCCAUAGUGAUGACAAUUUGGGAACUGCCUAAACAAAUCUUGAUGUUCUCUCUCUCUCUCAAAUUUAUUUUUAGAUUUUGAUCAUACUUAGUGUGUAGUUUGAAUUUAUGGAAAUUUUGGAUGUGUUGAAGUGUUUAAAACUAUUUGUGUAAAACGAUUGAAAUCUAAACCAUUGAAAUUAAUUUAUUGUAACUUAAACACAAAGAGAAUCAAGCUUGGUGUAUUGCACACCAAGUGUUUGACAAAAUUACUCUGUCAAGUUUAUUUUUACUUCUCAUUGGAAAUAAUUUAUGUUAAGUGGGGUUUAUAUUGAAACAAACUAUAUUGAACUUUUGGAUUGGAUUUUGUCAUCUUUAGCAUACUUUAUAUUAUAGUUUGUACGCAUAUCUUUCCACCAAUAACGGUUCUGAUAGACGAGAUUCGAUCCAAAUUCGUUUUCACUUGCCAUAGAAAAAUAACUUUCAAAAUAAAAUUUUAAGAAGAAAAAAUUCAUUAGGCAAUCUAUUCAACCCCCACCCCUUUUAGAUCGUUACCUCUUCUAACAUCUCCCUUUGACGCUUCUGAAUGUUUAUGUUCUUCGAUAGGGUUAUUUACCAUUCUCUCUCUCUCUGAUGCUUUUGAAUGUUUAUGUUCUUCUCUAGGGUUGUUGAUUUAUUUUUUUAAUAGAUAAAUGAUAUUAGGAUGUUGUGUGUAUUCACAUUGUCAUGUGUAUUGUUCAUGUUACAAUGUUCAUGUUUUAUUCAGAUUUUGUGAAUAUGCUUUAGGUUAUGGUGUUGGAUAUGCAUAUGCAUAUAAUCAUAUUAGGAUGUUGUGUGUCUAGUAUUAAUGUUCCAUUCAAAUUUGUCUUUUGAUAUAAAUUUCAGAAUUUGUUAUGGAUCGUAGUUGGAUGAAAGUUGAUAUAUUAGGUCCGAUGUAUGAGAAAUAAGUUAUUGAAUUCCUUGAAUUUGCCAAAAAAAAAAGUUCUUGACAAUAAUGGCAUCUUUUAUUGUUCUUGUGUUGUUUGCGGGAAUAUAAAAAAACGGUCAAAGAAAGAAAUAUUACAUCACAUAUGUUAUGAUGGAAUAUGUCAAAAUUAUACAACAUGGAUGUAGCAUGGAGAAGUGGAUAAUAAUCGAAAUACAAUGUCACAAAUGGAUGAAGAUGAUGAAGAUAUGGAUCAUCGACUAAAAGAUACGAUCUGUGAUAUUGGAGAAUCAUAUUAUAUGAAAGCCCAUAUUUAUGAUACUUUAUGUAGCAACAAAGAUGCACUUUUAUAUAAGGGAUGCACCCAUUUUAUAUGAUUGUCUGUGUUGUUAAAAUUGUUUAAUCUGAAGACAAAAGGUGGGUGGUCGGAUAAAAGUUUCACAAAAUUGCUUGAUUUGUUUAAACAAAUGCUACCAGAAGAUAAGAAUUUGUCGGAUUAUUAUUACGAGGCCAAGAAGACAUUGUGUACAAUGGGUUUUGAGUAUGUCAAAAUACAUGCAUGCCCUAAUGAUUGCAUACUAUACAUGAAGUAUUAUGAAAAUUUGGAUCAAUGUCCAAAAUGUAGUGAGUCGCACCACAAGUUGAAGAACAAUAAUGGUGAUGACAAUGACAUUGUUAGUAAGAAGUGUCCUCUUGCUAAAGUGUUAUGGUACUUUCCAAUAAUUUUAAGAUUAAAGAUACUUCUUGAUAAUGAGAAUGACACAAAGAAUAGUAUAUGGCAUCCAGAUGAAAUAAAAUAUGAUGAAAAAAUUUGCCAUGUAGUUGAUUCUUUGCAAUGGAAGAUAAUUGAUUCAUUGUUUCUGGAUUUUGGCAUUGAGCCAAGAAACCUUAGGCUUGGGCUUGCCAUAAAUGGAAUGAACCCCUUUAGUAAUCUGAGUACUAACCAUUCUUCGUGGCCUAUUCUUCUCACGAUUUACAACCUAUAUCAUUGGAUGUGCAUGUAUAUGAUGUUAAGUAUGAUUUAUGGACCAAGACAACCUGGAAACGGCAUAGAUGUUUAUAUAAGUCCAUUAAUUGAGGAUUUGAAACUUUUAUAGGAUAAAGGUGUUGACAUUGAUGAUGCAUAUUCUGGUGAAAAGUUUAAGAUGCGUGAAAUGUUAUUUUGAACAAUCAACGAAUUUCCUACAUAUGGUAAUUUGGUUGGAUAUAGUGUCAAAGGACAUAAAGCAUGUCCUAUAUGUGAAUCUGAUACCUAUUUUCAUCAGCUUGAGUUUGGAAAAAAGACAGUUUACCUUGGGCAUUGGAAAUUUCUAAAACUCAAUCAUCCUUAUCUUAAAUUAUGGAAGGUUUUUAAUGGAGAACAUGAGUUUGAGAGCGCUCAUAAACCUUUAACUAGCGAUGAAGUUUAUCAACGACAAGAACACCUUACUAUUUUCUUUGGAAAGAAUAAAGAUGGUCAUGCUGAGAGAAAUAUUUGGAAAAAGAGAUAGGUGUUUUUUGAUAUUCCAUAUUGGUCUAGACUCGAUGUAAGAUAUUGUCUUAAUGUGAUGCAUGUGGAGAAAAAUGUGUGUGAUAGUUUGAUAGGAACACUUCUAAACAUUCCAGGAAAGAGUAAAGAUAAUAAGAAUUCCCGUUUAGAUAUUGUGGAGAUGGGUAUAUGAAAAUAGUUGGCUCCAGAAGAUAAAGGAAAAAGUUCUUAUUUGCCUCCGACAUGUCACACUCUAUCUAAAAAAAGAAAAGAAAAGUUUUUGCGAGUGUUGGCAUGGUAUCAAAGUUUCCCAAGCCUAAUCAUCAAACAUCAAGAAACUUGUAUCAUUGAAAAAUAUCAAGUUAAAUGGCUUAAAAUCUCAUGAUUUCCAUGUCUUGAUGCAACAACUUCUACCAAUGGCUAUCUGUGGUAUCCUUCCAAAAAUUGUAAGAGUAACUAUAAUUAGAUUGUACUUAUUCUUCAAUGCCAUAUGUAAUAAAGUUAUUGAUUUCAAAAAAUUAGAUGAAUUAGAAGAUGAGACCACAAUAAUAUUGUGUCAAUUGGAGAUGUAUUUUCCUCCAUCAUUUUUUGACAUUAUUGUUCACUUACUUGUUCAUCUAGUCAGAUAAAUCAGAUUUUAUGGUCCAAUUUAUUUAAGGUGGAUGUAUCUUAUAGAGCGAUAUAAAAAAAUAUUUAAAUGAUAUACUAAGAAUCAUCACCGACCAAAAGCUUUGAUCGUUGAAAGGUACAUCACAAAAAAAUCUCUUGAAUUUUAUUCAAACUAUUUAUCGAAAGAAUAGUCUAUUGGAAUUCCAAAGUCUCGUCAUGCUGACAAAUUUGAAGGUAGAUGUACUCAAGGUUUAAAUAUUAAGUCAAUGGAUGAGAUGUAGUAAUUGAAGCACAUUUAUAUAUAUUGAAUAAUCUUAGUGUAGUUGGACCUUAUAUAACUAUUCACAAAACAAUUAUAAAGAAAAAGUAUCCUCGAAUGAAUGACAAGUGGUUGUUGACGUGACAUAACAAGGAAUUUAUAAGUUGGUUUAAUAAGAGGAUUUCUAAUGAUGAUGGUCCAUCCUAGACAAUUUAAUGUUUGUCAUACAUGCCAAAAUUUAUUGUGAUAACUUGAACGACAUAUGACAUUUCUAAUUUCCUUUUAUAUAAAAGCAAAAGAUGAUCAAAGUACAAGACAAAAUUGUAAGGGUAUGGUUGAGGUUGAAUCCAUGUAUUUCUCUAGUUCGCAAGAUAAGAAUCAUAUUUUAGCAACCACCGCGUUCUAUGGUGUCAUUGAGAAGAUUCUAGAGAUUGAUUAUGUUAUUUUCAACGUGCCUUUAUUUAAAUGCAAGUGGGUUCCCAAUAACAAUGGUGUACAAAUUGACGAGUUAGGAUUCACACGAAUUGACCUUGGCAAGACAACUUAUAACAACAGACUAUUUAUCAUGGCUAUUCAAGCAAAACAAGUUUUUUAUGUGACAGACUCUGCAGACUUAUCAAAGAGAUGGUCAAUUAUUCUCAAAGGAAAACAUAUUUCUCAUAGUGAUGGUGCAAGUUUUGAUAUUUCUUCCACUCCUUCUUAUGCAACACAAAUGCCUACUUUAUAUGAAGAAGUUGAUAGAGAUGAUCUACAUGUUAUUUGUAACGAUCAUCAAGAAGGCAUAUGGGAAAAUUAACAAGUAUUUUAUAUUCUUCAUUCAUAAUUUAUUGUAUGUUAUAAUUUCUAAUGAUAUUAUUUUCUAACAACUAUAUUAUUUGAAUAUAGGUAUUUAAAGUCAAGACACAAAGACAACAAGGUAAUAUUAUUUGAUAUAAUGAUGUGUACAUGGUAGGUUAUUUUGUGUCAUUUUGGCUUUGAUGUAAUAUACAAUUUUUGGUUCCUAAUGGAAUUGUGUCAUUGGUGUAAUACAAAAUUUGGUCUAAUUCAAUUCACAAUUGGGUGUAUUCUUGUUUCUGGUCUGAUACGAUUCAAAAUAUUAAGGUUAAAAAUUUGAGAAUACUGUAAAAUUGAAAAAUAUAUACUAAAUAAAUAAAUAAUAUCACAAUGGUUUUUAAUUCAACCGUUGUUAUAAGUAGAGCACUAUGCAUAAUAAUAUAAUGCAAAAAUGACGUUGUUGGGAUUUGAACCCAAAACCUAUAAAUUAUUUCACAACGGUUGUCUUCUUUAUCCAUUAUUGUAAGUAGCAUGCUACCUAACUUAUAACCACAAUCACUCGCUCGUUGUGAAAACCAACAUACAUACAAUCACACACUACCUAACAAUAGACGUGAAAUUGUCAUUGUAUGUGUUUCACAACUGUCAUUAUAUGUGUUUUCUAUAAUAAUGCUUUUUUGAUUUAUUGCAUAAGUUACAUGUAGCAUCCAUAUUAUAAAUUUUGAAAAAAAUCGCACUGCAUGUCUUCGGAUUUUAUAAACCAAACAAACAUAUUGACAUGUAUUUAGAUUUCAUAAUAUGAAUAUUAUUAGAAUGUGUGUUGAUUGGUGUAAAUUUUGUUGAUUAGUAGUUUAUGUAUACUCUCUUCAAUCUCAUAACCAACAAAAUAAAAUUCAAUGUUGUUAAAUAUAAGUAAAAUCUUCUCUCAUUAUUACAUUCAAUUUUACUAUUCCAAAUAUUACUACUCUUUAUUUUUAUUUUUAUAGCCUCGUGUUUUUCAAGUUUCCAAAAUAAAAAGUAAUGGUAAAAAUAGAAAUAGUGUAUGGCUUAAAUGUAUUUAGAUGACUUCUUUAAAGAUUUUGUAAAUUUGCUUAUAUAUAAGAUUAGAUGUAGUAUUUGUCAAUUUUCAAUAAUGGAUAAGAAUAGUAUGCUGAACUCGUGCAAGGAAUAAAACAGACUUAACCACUGUCUCUACCCGACUUGAGCAUCAAUGUAAAAUUUGAGCAAAUAUAAUUGGAUUUGCAAACUACAACCUCAUCCUCGUGAGAUUGAGGUGGAGGUUGAAGUUUUGGAGGAGAGUGAAAGUUCUAAUUAUUCUUUUUUUUUUAAUUUCAAGAUGGGAAACUGAAAUAUAUAAGUAACGACAAAAAAUUCAUAAAAUUAACUACUCCAAAUAAACAAUUUUUCAUAAAUGUCAUUCGAGACAAUAAUCUAUAUGACCUUGACACCAUAGGUUUUAGCGUAGAUGAUCAUUGCUUGGUGAAAAUUUUGGAUCUAUAUGCUUGCAGGCAUAAAGUUAAUAGUUCUAUCGACAAACCUCAAAAGUAUUUUGAUGACGACAACACUAAUAAUUCCUAAAAUCGGUGGUAACAUCUUUCCAACUCCUUUAUGAUGGUGAUUAACUUGAAGAUACCUCAAGCCUCAUCAGGACGGAGACUCAAGGUUCCAUUAAAGUUUUUAUAUGAUCAAUGUAUCUGGCGAAGGAAUUUAAAAUCUUUAGAAUUAUGAAAGAAAGAAAGUGUGAAAGCUAGCCUAAUCGUAUCUGUUUGAGUAACCAGAGUCUUCUGAAAGUAAGAGAGUAUCUCCUAAGAUACUUAGGAAACACACAGAUAUGCACACACACACACAUGCACAUACACAUACACUUUCUCUCUCUCUCACACUCUUUUUUUUUAUCUCUCUCUCUCUCUCUCACACUCUCUCUCUCUCUCUCUCUCUCUCUCUCUCUGAGAAAGAGAGAGAGAGAGAGUCUCUCUCUCUCUCUCACACACACACACACACACACUCAUUUUAACUAUCAAAAUACCUAAAAAUGUUUUCAAGCCUUAGCCAAUUGAUUAGGAAAUUGUCAACUUCAUUAAAAGCAACUUUUGAACUAUCUAAUCGAUUAUAUCCUAAAGCUAAUCGGUUAGAAGAAGCGAAAUCAAUUAUAUAAUUAAUUAUGGUAGCGUAUUAAUGAUUAGUAACGACUCUAUAUCUAAACAUUCCAAAAUGGGCUAAAAUAAUCUAUUAUUUUUUUGUAUCUAAUCGAUUGGGCUUAUGGCCUAAUUAAUUAGAUUAGUUAAUUGGCUCAUGGAUUAUUUCCUUUUUAGCCAAUUAUUCUCUCUCCUCUUUAUUUCACACAAGAAUUCCAAAUUUCUCUAGUUCUUUGGAAUUUAUCUCUCUUUGUUGUCUCUCUAAAUAUUUUCUUUCACCAAAGUUACCUUAGUGCAUUGUGAGUGAAAACUAUCUGUGAGGAAUAAUUUAUACUAGUGUCGUUCCAUUGUUAUUACUCUCAAGAGUGAGAUAUUCUUGAGAAAUCGAGUUUAGUUAUUGAGAUUAACCAUUCUAAAAAUCUUUGUUUGGUUCUAGGACUUAGCCUGGAAAAUUUUAGUUUGGUUAUUGAGAUUAGCAUGGAAAAAUCUAAUUAGCUCGUUAGUUCAACUUGUGAAAAGACUUUCUUUUUGUUAGGGAUAAGUCACUGUAAAGUCUCUAGAUCUGUUUGUAUCAAAGGUUUGUGGAUAUAACCUGUAAAAGUUCAAGUUUAUGGUCAAAAUCUUAAGAAGAUCUCAUGGGGAUAAAAGUCGGUUAACUUUCGACCAAACCUGGAUAAAUCAUUGGUGUAAUCUCUCUAACCCUUAUCUUUUAUUUUUGUCCUUUAUUAUAUUAACUUUAAUUUUUGUUGCUUUUCACUAUAAUCUUAAUAUUAACGUAAUUUGACUUUUAAGUAACAAAAACUUAAGUUUAAUUACGAAUUUUUAAUACCACAAUUCACCUCACUCUUGUGCUUGAAGUCACUUGUUCAACAAGUGACAUCAGAUCCUAACUCAUAUUAAAGACUAAUCAUCCCAUGAGGAAAAACAACUUCAAUCUAUUCACUAAAUAAACCACCAUCCUUUAAUGGAUAAGGGUAUAUUUAUUGAAAAUGUAAAAUGGAGUUUUCCAUAUAAGAGAUGGAUUGUGGUAUUUAAAAAGUUGUGAAGGAAAGUUUAUGUUCAUACACAUCAUACUGAUGGUGUUGUAGUGAACAAAACUGGAAAUAAUUGGACCAAAGAUGAUAAAGAAAAUGUGUAGUGCAGUUUGAAAGCAAAAAUGGUCAUCACCGCCACUCUUGGUCUUGAUAAAAGCAAUGUGGGACAUCCUCCAAAUUACCCAUGAAGUAACUAUUUGUGUAAAGAGGGCAAGGUUGGGAUCAUUAACCUAUUAGUAUAAAAUUUUCAAGAUGAAACCUAAAGAGAACAUAAAUUAGAUGCAAACACGAUUUACACAUAUCAUGAGCCACAUGAGAACUCUAGGAAAAACAUUUUCAAAUGAAGAACUAGUUGUGAAAACUCUUAGAUGUUUAAACUGUAACUAGAAACCUACAUUGACUAUGAUUUGAGUAUCUAGGGAUCUAGAAAUUAUAGAUACACACACAUACAUACUCUGUUUGAGAAAUUACAAGAACACGAAAUAUAAUUAAACAGGCUUGCCAUAGAUGAGGAAGGAGAAAAGAAAAGCAAAAGUCUAACACUCAAAUUCGAAUAGUCCAACUCAGAUGGUGACAUGUAUCUUAUAGUAAAGAACUUAAAAAUAUUUCUAAAUCAUGAGAAACAACAAAAAUAGGAAGAUGAGGAAAAAAUUUCAUUUAUCCCCACUUGCUACAAGUGUGGAAAGAAAGGGCACAUUAGGCCAAAUUAUCCCUUAGCUAAAAGACAAAUAAAAAGAAAUCUAAGAAACUUUAGAAAAAGGCCAAGAAAGCUUACAUAGUAUGAGAACAUAACAAUAUGAAAUCCUUAGACAAUGAAGAGGAAAACUAACAUCUAUCUCAUGGAAAAUCAUCAAGAUGAUGAGGUAACUUCUUAUUUUUCCUAUCACGAUCUUUUUUGCAUUUGUAAGAAACUAACAAAAGAACCAAGAAAACUGAAACAAAUUGUGUGUAUCGAAGGAUAUUAUUUCUUCUCUUGAACUUAAAAAUAAAAAACCUUGAGAAAGAAAAUAAAUCCUUAGAGAAAUAUAAAAUGAUACAGUUCAAAACUUUUCCACUUUAAACGAAGAGGAUGAAUCUGAUAAGUGCAACAAAGGUGAUACUUUGAAAAAUGAAAUUUGCGAUUUUCAAAAGUCAUUUGUUAAGUUCACCAAAGGAAGAGAUAACUUGAAUCUUCAGUUGGGAAAUCAAAAAGUUUCUUACAAUAAAGUUGGUCUCGGUUAUGAACCCAAAAAUGAUAGUAGAACUUUAGUAACAUUUGUAUUGCUAAAUCCACCUCUCAUUGCAAAACCUUAAAAUACAACUAUUGUAACAAAGGUCAUAUGGCAUGUUCUGUUUUAUUAAUAAAUUUACGAGAGAAAAGAAGGACAUCCUCCUUCAUACUUUUAUAAAAAAAACAUUGUGAGCGCAAAAUAAAGAUUUCACUUGCUCUAUUAAAUGUUUAUGUCUCUAGUAUAAAGACAAAUGAAAAGAAUAUUUAUACAACUAACAAUAAAGGACCCAAGAUGACAUGGGUACCUAAAUUUAAGACCUAGGCUUUUAUUGCAGGAGUGCUUUACAGUCUUGAUUUUUAAGUAACAAAAACUUGAAUUAAAUUGCGAACUUUGAAUAGUACAAUUCACCCCCCUCUUAUGCUUGAAGUUACUUUUUCAACAACAACCUUUUUUAGAGAGGUGGCACGAGGAGACAUCAACUUGUAUAUCCCGAUUAAGGAGAUGAAAGUGAAACUAGAUGAAAUCUCAUGUUUUCUGCAUCUGCUACUCAAGAGUCGUAUUCUUGACUACACCAUAGUUACAAAGCAUAAAUAUUAUCUAAUGGUUGAUCUUCUCGAAGUAGAACCACAUAACAUUGAACAAUAAUUUUAUGAGGGCCCUGGAGGUAAUGCAUGGUUCAAAUUCCUGAAGGGUUAUUUAUGAAACACCUUGAAACUACAGGGGCUAGUGACUAGGCCGAUGAAGGUGUUAAGAAAUAGUUGUACAAGCAGUACAAGACUAGGAUAUAUCUCCCUUACUUGAUGGACUCAACCAUUUUCACAAAAAAAGGCCAGUUAUAGUCACAUGAUGUAUUUAGAGCAUUUCAUGGAUCUAUACAUGAUCACUGGCUAUACUAGAGGCACUGUUACAUUGCCUUACUUGUAUAGGGAGAGCUGGAUGUUGUGACCAAGUUUAAGAUGAUACAAUUAGUAAUAUAUAUGACAUUAUUUCAAGUAAAAUAUUCAUGUAGUUAUUUAAUUAGUUGUUAAAAGUAUUUUCUUCAAUAUUAUUUACUAAUUAGUAUACAUUGUUGCAUGCAUGAAUCUAUCAAUAUUUCCCCAAUAUUGACAAACAAAGAGUAUGACAAGACGGUGCCUCAUGCUAACCUUUUCAUUUCGCUUAAAAGAUAUCCAACUAGAAAAUUGUAUUGAGAACCUAUAUUUUGACUAUUAUCACAAGAUGUGUUCCUUGACUUUUACGAUACUCAACGUGCCAUAUACCUUUUCAAUGACAUUAGAUUCUAUUUUGGUUAGGUCAAAUGUUUACUAUGUAUGGUUAGGUACUUUCCAGAGGUAAUUUUGCCCUAGUUCAAUAAGAUGCAAACUAUUAUAAGACAUCAAUUUAUCUAUGUUAUACACACGACCACUCGAGAGUACGUUGAUCAUAGGUAUCUUGAGCGGCUAGACCACAUCUUCCUAAAUAUUUAGGAUAUUGCGACAUGAAACAUAAGAUAAUAUAUUAAGAUAUCACUUCCUUACCUGAUCCCCAUACCUGAGGGAAAAUCUUUGGUACUAAUUGAGAAUGAAUCACUUGAAGAGGAGGCAAAAAAAGAGGAUCACAAUAGUCGGGUCCCUAUUUGCACAUAAACUUGAGACAUGACUUUUGAAUUAUUAUCUCAUGGGACUAUUAAGUUGGGUACUAAAGUUUACGAUGUUGUCUAGAGCAUUCAAAUGAAGGUUAAAAAUUCCUUGUGACACAAGAGAUUUAGGAGGAAUGAAAAUAAUUCUUGUGUGAAAGGUUUCAAAGCAAGGAUUCUCACAAGGAUGGCUAAUAUAAAUGUAAGUUACAUAUUUAUCACUAUCAUAUCCACACAUUUAUUUGCUUACUUAGACACGAAGUAAUACAAGAAACUUUUAAUUUAUGCUUAAUUAAGAAUUUUCUUAUGUUACUUCGUUCUAAGUAAGCAAAUAUCACAGAGGUAUUAUAUACGAAAGAAAUUUUUAAUUAAACAUAAAUUAAAAAUUUCUUGUGUUACUUCGUGUCUAGUAACUUACUUACUAGACUAUUGGUGGUUUCACUAGUGACUUGCUUCUAGUGUUUAAAAAGUAAUAAAAACUAAUUUCCACAUCAUCAUAAAAGUAUUUUGAAAAAAAGUCACUUUUGAAUACUCUCAAUUUUUAAAAGAAACUAUUCCAAAUAUUCAAAUUGGGAACACCUUUUUUUUAUAAGCAAAAUUAUACCCCUGAAUUAAAUUUGAAGUUUCUCAAUCAUCCUCUAAAAUAUGGAGGUAUACUUUAGAAGAAAACAGCAAAAACUUAAAAGGAGGUGUGGAAAUGAAUUUUAUGCAUACCGAAAGCAAGUCCCUUUUUUUUAACAGGGGCAUGAGGCCCAACAAAUACGAGUUAUUGUCAUUCAAAAAAAAUAAUGUAGAAGUGGAAAUAGUUGCAAGGAAAAGUGCUCGGGUCCCCGCCGCAGCAGGUUAACGAACGGUGGCAACUGCAACUGCAACUACAAAUCUGAUAUAAACCCUACCAUCACCAUGUCCAACGACUCUUUGUUCGCCGGCAUUCGUUUUGACAGAAAGAAAUUCGGCGCAGAUAUUGCCAGGUUUCAGGUACCAUUUCAAUCUCUCUUUAACUAAACGCCGCUGAAAGUGAAUUCAAGAAAUUCCAACCAAUUUUUUUGACCUAAAUAUUCAUCACUGCUCAAUUUUCAACCAUUAAAAUUCGGAGCAGUUUUCUCUUAUGUACCUUUGUCAAUCAUAGUAGCGUGAUAUUUUGUAUGCAUAUAGAACUUAACAACGGCUACUAGCUAAUUUGAUAAACUGUACAUCCUCAGAAAGCGUCCUUAUGGGAUACAUGGAUUUCUGAUAAGACUAUUUUUAGCAAUUUUGGAAGUCUUUAAAAGAGGACUUUGAUUAUAUAAUCAAGUUCGCCAUUCAUGAAAAUGAUGAUACUGCACGCUGUAUUCUUAAUAUGAUGUCCAUUAGAGCAGAUACUAGAGCUAAGCACAAAGAAAUCAAAUGAAGCUUGUAAUGGAAAGAAUCUUCCCUGCAUGGUUUGAAAGUUACAAGUUCACAAAGAGACGGACUUCUUUUUUGGAGGAUUUCAGAUGUUUUUUUAUGUUUUUUUUAUUUUAAUCUUUUAGUUUUUUAAAAGUAAGUCGUGCACGAGAGAGAUGGUUUCAAACAUGUUUAUGCAGCAAGGCUUGAUAAAAUGUAGUCAUUCUCUUGCUAUUGAGAAAAACCCAAGUCCCAUAUGAUAAAGAGAGUCUGAAACGCGGUUAUAAAGAGGGACAACCCCUACAUUACUAGUCGGUUUUGUUAGGAUGAGUUAAAUCCAAUAUAAAAACUUACUAUGAUAUUAGAGCCUAUCGAUUUGGGCCACCUGCCAUUUAAUCCAUACAUCAAGCUCAAUAGUUAUGGGUGUGACUUGUGAGGGAGUGUAUUGGUAAAAACCCUAGUCCCACAUAAAAAUAAAGAAAAUGUUUGAAAUGAGUUUGUAAAGAGUGACAUCUCUCACCUUAAAAAUCAGUUUGUAAGGAUGGGUUACACCCAACAUAAAAAACCUAAUGCUUACUUAUUUCAUUUCUUAAUCUAUGCGAAACACUGAUAAUAGUUAUUUCUUUAAAAAAAGAAAAAAAAUGCCGAUACUAGUUUGGCGAAGAUUCAGAGUGUGACAGAAGAUGAAGAAAUCAAGGAAACAAUAGAAGCUGUGUCUGCAAAGAAAAGGAAGCGCAAGAAAACCUCUUCUGGUAUUCUCAUUCUCAUGUUUUAACACUCUAUGUCACAUAUCACUUGUAUUAAUUGUUCUUUAUCUCACUUUUGCUUUGUUUCUAUGACAAAUAAAAGAAGCUGUUGAUGGAUUCAGUGUGUUCCGAAGUUCAACAUCGAAGUCAAGCGAAAAAGUCCAAGCCGAUGAUGAUGAGUCCAUUCGGCUGAAGAAAGAAAAAAAUAAGCAACUCGAGGUUCAGGCCCUUUAUGUUUUGUGCAAUAUAUAGAACUCUCCGUGUUCUUAAGUUUGUGCAAUAAUUUUCUGACCAUUCACUUUCAUUUUUCAUCUUUAUUUAGCGCGAUGCUAUCUUUAGGAAGAGUCAUAACAUUCAUGUGUCCGGUUACAAUGUGCCGUCCCCACUUCAAAGCUUUGAUGAGUUGAAAACAAGGUAAUUUUCUGUUAAUAUUAUUAUUCUGGAAUCUGGUUGUUACAUAUUCUGCUUAUUAUUAUUAUUAUUAUAUAUUUACAUGAACAUGGCAUUGCUGGUUCAGAAUCUUAAAAUGAACUGUUUAUUAUAGUUAUAAAUGUCCGUCCUAUUUAUUGCGGAAUCUGGCAGAACUUGGAUUCAGAGAACCAACACCAAUCCAACAGCAGGCUAUUCCAGUACUCUUACAGGUACGGAUCACAUUGGACAUUAUGUUAUUCGAAAAUCAUUGAUGUAGUUUGAUCUUGGUUUUGAUUCGUGCAAGCUUGAUAUUGUUUGCAAGAGAGAUAGUAUCACAAUAUUGUUUUUACUGAUAUUUUCCUUCACUAAUAUGAGAUAGGAUCGUGAAUGCUUUGCCUGUGCCCCAACCGGCUCUGGAAAAACCCUUGCAUUUGUGUGUCCCAUGCUCAUGAAGCUCAAGGUAUUGCUUAUAUUUUGUUGUCUUUUGCUUCCAACAUCCUGGGUCAUGGGUUCCAAUAAUCAAAUGUGUUUAUAGGCUCAUUCAAAAGGUGGCGUUCGAGCUGUUAUCAUCUGUCAUAGCCGUGAAUUAUCUGGUCAAACAUACCGAGAAUGCAAAAAGUUUGCCAAAGGGGAAAAGUUUCGUAUCAAGUUAAUGACAAAACAUCUUUUAGAAGGUUCUGAUUUUUCAAAUUUUCCUUGUGACAUACUUAUAUCCACGCCCUUUCGAUUACGCUUGGCUACCCAGAGGAAAAAGCUUGAUCUCAGCAGGUGUGUAAUAAUAAAAAAAUCUGGCUUAUUGAUUUAAUCUUAUUACUCUCUAAAAAAUAAUCAAGUAAAUCAUUACAUGUAUAUUAGUCCAUAGGGAUUACUUUAAAUUCCUGUGAUGAUGGUCUACAGCUGCUCCUCUAUGCCACUUAUGCUGUAGUUUAAAUAUCUCAUAUUGAGCUAUACUUUGCUUUGUCCUUUCUCGACCAAUUGCAUGCUAAAUCGUGAAAUUAUCUCCUGGGUUGGUACUUUCUUUUUGCUGUCAUUCUUCAUUCCUUCUGCUAAAAUACAAUAUCAUUGAGGAACAUUUUUCCUGUUAUUCUUCAUUCUAUUUGCGUUUACGUUUCUUUUUAUCUGGCCCUGUGGAAUUAAUGAAGUAGACACGAGUAACCAGUUGAUCAUUCAGUUGACUCAAACCAUAAACCCAACAUGGAAAUCUAAGUUGUUUCAAAGUUUACCACCCCAGGAGAAAGUAAUUAAGUCUAAACACAUUCCAAAGUGUUUAUUGAGAAGCAAGCAAUUGCUAAAUCCAUAUGAAUAAUCGGUUGGAGUCCAUUAUUGCUGUCAAAUAUCUGCCAUGUUGGCGCCAUGGCGGAUUGCAGUGUUUUUUUUUUGACAAUUGUCAUGGCCAAUUUGUGAAGAACGGUGGUGCCAUGACCUUUUAUGGUGUACUUUUGGCUUUCUGCCAUGGUCUUCCAUCCAUUUGCCAUCGAUAACACUGGAGCCCAUUGAACAUGAAAACAAACACACGUUCAGCAGCAUAAUUAUUUCUAAAGAUUAUGGUUUCAUAUAAGAUGGGAGAAUCAAAUAUCUGUUGUAUAUUGGUAAAACAAAUUCAGUGUUUGUUUGCCUCUCAGUUGGCUGUGAUGUUAUUUAAUGAUAAAUUUGAUUGGGUACAACAAAUUGUGGCAUGGUCCAACCCUAGUUGGUGUCGGCUGUUGUAAUGUAAAACCUUAACUACUUAAAUGGUUCAUGCAUUUUCAAAUUUUGCUUGCUGCUUUUAGCUGUAUUCAAUGUUGUGUCUGCAAAGACAGUAGUAAUAAACACUAGACAUGCAAUGUGAUUACCAAAUAGGCGUGUUGAUGUUUUUUUUCUUUCAACUCUUUUGGUUGCUGCAGAGUUGAGUAUCUUGUCCUUGAUGAGUCUGAUAAGCUAUUUGAGCCUGGAAUGUUCAAGCAGAUUGAUGCUAUUAUCAAAGCAUGCACAAAUCCCUCAAUAGUACGCUCUCUAUUCAGUGCUACUUUACCUGAUUUUAUUGAAGAUAAAGCUCGAGAACUUAUGCAUGAUGCUGUUCGCGUAAUCGUUGGCAGGAAGUAAGUUCAAUAAAAAAUUUACAAUAGAACAUUAUGCUCAUGUGCAUUACUUUAACUCUUCACCCUAUUGUAAAAGAUAACAUCUAAUACUUUUAUGGGAAUCAGGAAUAUGGCUUCUGAAACAAUUAAGCAGAGGUUGGUUUUUACUGGAAGUGAAGAAGGAAAACUUAUAGCAAUUCGGCAGAGUUUUGCAGAGGUAUGAAACUAAAAUGAAUGCUUUAGAUAAAAGGCAUUAUUAGUCAGUUUGUUUUUCUUCUGCUUCAAUAUGUUUUGUCUCACAGGUCACAACUUAACCUUGGUCAGUGUGGGUCUUAUUGAAAAGUAAUUAGAAACCUCAUUACAAUUUAUCGUUAAUAUGUAUUUCCUGUUGUUAAUCUGCCUAGUUAAGAGAAACUAUUAAUAAAGAUUUUGGAGAUUAAUGAGUUGGAUAUAAAUAUGAUAUAUGAUAAAAUAUUAUGACAUUGUUUGAUCCAUGUAGCCGACUCCAAAUAGUGAGAUAAGGCUUUGUUGUUGAUUGUAUGUUGCAUGCAUAUAGUUUAAUAUUUACCUUGUUUCAGUUUGGUGUUAAAUAAUGUAUUGUGAGUGUAAAUAUGUAACGACUUGGAACACUUGUUAUUGUAACAUCUACCUUUGAAACUAGCGGAAAGAACAUAAUAUUGCAACACUUGUUUGCUCACUCCUAAUAUAUCAGUUGCUUGCAUUUGUUGACUUUGUUUUUUUUUGCUUUCCAUAUCUCGAAGAGUCUAAAUCCUCCAGUAUUGGUCUUUGUCCAAAGCAAGGAGCGAGCCAAGGAGCUGUAUGGUGAACUUGCAUUCGACAAUAUUAGAGUUGAUGUCAUCCAUUCUGAUUUGUCUCAAGAAGAGGUAGUUCUCAAUCCCUUUGAACAAAAUAAGCUUCUUGUUGGAAAGUAUGAAGGCACUCUGAAACGUUUUUCCCUUCAGCCAAAAAAUGCAAAAAGAAAAAAGAAAACCCAUGAAUUAUAUGACCAAGAUCUCUGGCCCAUACUAUUUAUAUGGUGAAGAUGUCAAAUUAUAGUAUUCCUUGUUUGUGCAAUUGCUUUUGUACUUGACUAAUCUGCUCAUCAUUACUGAACAAGACAAACCUGUUUUUAAUAUACAAUUCUGUUUAACUUUUAAUCUCUGAUCAUCAGCAAUGGGUACUCCAUUAUGAAAGCGCAUAUUUGUUAAGUUAGCUGUAGCCUGUAACUAUGAUGUGAUUUUUUUAAUCUCUUGAAUUCUAUACAGCGAGAAAACGCAGUUGACAACUUCAGAGCUUGUAAAACAUGGGUUUUGAUUGCCACUGAUGUGGUUGCUCGAGGAAUGGAUUUCAAAGGCAUUAACUGCGUGAUCAAUUAUGAUUUCCCAGAUUCUGCAUCGGCAUAUAUCCACAGAAUUGGUUAGUGUCACGACAUGAACAUUUUUUUUUUAAUAUUUAAGAAGUGUUUAGAGGGGCUGUGAUUUGUAAUAUUCACUCACUGAGCCUUUUCUUUAUUAUAUAUUCUUUGAUACAUCAAUUUUUAAUAAUGAUUUGAAUCUACUUUUUGCUAAAUAUAAAUGUUGAUAUUUCAAUAGGUCGAUCUGGUAGAGCAGGGAGGAGUGGCGAAGCAAUUACAUUUUACACAGAAGAGGAUAUUCCAUUCUUGAAGAACGUAGCUAAUCUAAUGGCAUCCUCAGGCUGUGAAGUUCCAUCCUGGUUGACGGAGUUGCAGAAAAAGAAGUGGAGGAAGCACCGACCCAAAAGAGAUUCUAUCUCAACUAAACCUGACAAAGUUGCAAAAAAACAAGUGACAGAAAAAGCAGUGGAGGAAGCACCGGCCGAAAAAGAUUCUAUCUAGACUAAACCAGAUCUUUAAGUCUAUUACAACAACAAAUUGGAACAAGUUUUUGACCUGUGAAAUUUCUUGAAGUGUUUAUUUCUUGAAAGACCAUGCAACAGUGUUAAUUUAUAAUCCUCCCUCUCCAAAAAUGAUGAAAAGGGGGUGACUGGAUGGUGUGCGGGGAAUGUUGUCUAAUGCUUAUAUAAGUUCCAACCAUGAUAUAAUCAUAUACAUUACCUUAGUGCCAGUUGCAACACCCAUAAAUGGGAAUUUUUGGGCCUUCCUUUGUACUGAACAAGCAAUUUUGUUGAUCCUAAAAUGUCUGAUUUGAUAUACGUUGAAACAACAUUUCAUUCAAUAGAUUUUUAUUGUGUGAUGGCUUUCUACACAGUAUGUUAGUAAUUCUUCCAAUGCCAAGGCAUGCACAUAAUACAUGCAAUUCUGUAGUAUAUGUCAAUUAUUUAAACAUUUUAUGUGGGCUAAGUCUCUUAACAUAAUUUAAGGAUUUAAUUUGUUCCAUUAUUUAAUAAGAGUAAAAAGUUUUACAUUGUCGAUUCAUCACCAUCAUCCGUUUGUAUUAUUUUGUAGGUUUUUAAGAUAAAAGUCAAAUUUGGUUCAAUAUCCAACGUCUAUAAUUAAUUGAUGGUGUAAAAUUCUUUUAUACUGUCAGUGUAUUUCAAUUAAAUUCAUUUAAUAAAUGUUAUUUUUUAAUCAUUUAAAAACUAUUUCAUGACUUAUGUGAAUGACAUUAUCUCAACAUGAAAGAAGUGGAGGAAAAAAUAGUGUUCGUAAAUGUUUUUUUUUUGUAGAUUAGCGAAAACCUUUGUAUCUUUUUAGAAUAACUUCAAAAUCAUAUCCUUUUAGAUUAAUCAAUAGUGAAUCGAGAUUUUGAUUUUGAUAUGACUUGGAGUCCUUGUUGGUUUUUUAUUUCUUUAUUCGGUGAUCUAUGAUCUAUUGAUGGUGGGUGUAUUAACUUAAGAUCUAACUUGCUACUUUUUAGUUUGGAGCUCGAAUAAACAGUUUUUCCUUUGGUUCUGUCAUGUCUUAAUGUUUCAUUAGUUUUUCUUCACCUGUUUGUAUUAUAUAUUAAUAUAUAUAUAUAAUAUAUAUAUAUAUAUAUAUAUAUAUAUAUAUAUAUAUAUAUAUAUAUAUAUAUAUAUAUAUAUAUAUAUAUAUAUAUAUAUAUAUAUAUAUAUAUAUUAUAUAUAUAUAUAUAUAUAUAUAUCAAUAUUAUUUUAUUCGGCUUAUGGUACAGCUUGUGCUAUUUGAUUUUCUUUUAUAUUUUGUGUUGAGUAUGACUUAUCAUGUAGAAACUCUAAACAGGUCUUUGGACCACCUGUUUGUUGGGGUAACUUAGGAUUAAAGUUUAGGUUUAGGGGUAUUUCACUUGUAACACUGUAACCCUUAAUUCAUAAGACAAAAGUCAAUGAUAGAAUGUGAUGAAAGUAUUGAUCGAAAUUGCGUUAAAAAAGAUCAAUCAUGUUCAUUGUCUUUUACAUUCGUUUCUCUUUAAUCCUCUAUGUUGGUUGUUGUUCUAAUAGUUGGUAACUCUAGUGUGAAAUUCGAGGUAACAAGGUUUGACGAGACAAAUAAUUUUGGAUUAUGGCAAAUGAGGGUUAAGGAUCAAUUGACUCAUCAAAGUUUAUAGAAAGUGUUGCAUGAGACAAAAUCGAACGACAUGGAGGAUACCGACUGGAUAGAGAUGAAAAACAAGGUUGCGAGAUUGAUUCACAUAUGUGUUUCAGAUGAGGUGAUGUAACAUAUCCUGGAGCUGACGACGCUGGAGGAGGUUUAAGACAAACUGGAAAGUUAGUAUAUGAAAAAGACGUUGACGAACAAAUUACUCCCUAAACAUCGACUAUACAGUCCGAAGAUGCAAGAAGAACCUGAUUUGCAACAACAUGGCAAUGCCUUCAAUAACAUAAUCACCGAUUUGGUGAGGCUUUGGAUGAAAAUUAAUGAAGAUGAUAAGGCAAUUAUCUUUCUCUGCUCGUUACUAGGUUCUUAUAACCACUUGGUGACCUAUGGAAAAGAAAAUAUAAGUCUUGGUGUGAUUACUGCUAUUUUUUUUGUCUCAUUCUCAAAAGAGACAAAGUGUAGAUGAAUGAACUUAAGGCGGAGAUUUGUAUGUGAAAGGGAGUCAAAAUCGUGUGCAGAAUAAGAGUAAUGGAGGUUCUGGAAAAAAGAUGUAUAAAUCUCGGAAUCGGAAAACAACUUAGUGUUAUAGUUGUAAACAUAUUGGGCAUUGGAAGAGAGAUUGUCCAAACAGAAAGCAAGCCUCAUCUAGUUUUGCAAAUGUAGUCCAAAUAGAUGACUUUGGUAGUGAAGCAAAUAUACAGUGUAUUUCAUCCAACCAAUGCACAUAUGUGUGGAUUCUUGACUCUGGUUGUUGUUACUACAUGACACUGCAUCGAGAAUGGUUCACUACAUCCCGGUCAGGUAGUUUUUUUUUUUUAUCAAGUGAUGAUAAAGCAUGUAUUAUCACCAGAAUGGGACAAAUUAAAAUUUCCAUGGACAAUGGUGGCGUUCAACAUUGUACGAACUCAAAUGUAUCUUAGAAUUAAGGAGGAAAUUGAUUUCCCUAGGUACUCCACAGACAAAUGGUUUUUCUUACAAGUAUGAUGAAGAUAGCCACAUUAUGAAAGUUAGCAAGGGUGAAUUGAAUGUGAUGAGAGCAAAGAGGACUGCAAGUAACAUCUACAAACUAUUGGGGAAGAGGUUUGUAGGUGAUGUUGCAUUAGUUGAGUCUAAUAAUGAUGCAACCAAACUCUGGCAUAUGCGUCUGGUUCAUCUCCAUGAGUGUGGGAUGAUGGAACUUCAUAAGAGGAAUCUAUUGAAGGGUGUUUGUAGUUGUAAGAUGGAAUUGUGCAAGUAUUGUAUACUUGAGAAAUAUUGUAGUUUUUGGUUCAAGACUAUAAACAAUGAAUUUUAGACUAUGUGCAUUAAAAUGUGUGGGGUCCUACCAAAGAGGUUUCCAUGGAUGGUUCCAGGUAUUUUGUGAGUUUCACAAAUGCUUUUUCUCGCAAGGUUUGGGUGUAUUUCUUGAAAUAUAAAGAUGAAGUCUUUACCAAAUUCAAGUUGUGGAAGACAGAGGUAGAAAAUAAAAUAGGAAGAAAAAUCAAGUAUUUAUGAUCAGAUAAUCAAACAUAUUACGCUGACUUGAAAUUCAAGAGGUUAUGUGAAGAACAUUAUAUUCAAAGAUAUUUAUCAGUUUGCAAGUCACCACAACAAAACUGUAUUUAAAGAUAUGGGUUUGAAUGGUCGGGGGGAGGGGGGGGGGGGGGGGGGGGGGUGGGGGGGGGGGGGGGCUUUGUUCCCAAAAAGACCGUUACAAAAAAUUCUUUUAUAAAAUUAGAGUUUUAAAAAAUGCUUGGCAUAGAGAAAGUUUUCGUAUAAAAGAUGUGAUUGGAUUGAUGAUAUAAUACAUACUUAUUACCAACAAAAAAUAAAGAAGCAAAAGAAUAGUAGAAGAGAAUACUAAAAUGUACUCGAUGUUUUGAUUGAACUAAGUUCAUUUUACACGAGAUUUGUAAACCAAAUUUUCUCAAAUGAAUAAGGAUUAUAUAAUCACAGUUUUCACUUUAUUCAAAAGUAAGAAUGUUUAGGAACUUGAUCUAACACAUGCCUAAUUUUUAUACACAAAAUCUCUAUGCACGCGGUAAAAUCUAUCAGCAUGCGAUUUCUAAGAGAAACAAUUAACCUAAACAUACAAUACUAAACGAAAUAUAAAAGUGCGAGAGAGGUAAAGAUAGUACGCCAUAUUUAGAGUGUUUCAGCGUUUCGUCAUCGUUUGAGCUUAAUCCACUCUCCAAUGCUUCCCAUUGAAAGUUUGUUGUUGCUCCACUAUGACUUUGACAAUUUUCACACAGAGUAUUUUAAUACAAUAAUGAUUCAAAUCAUGCUGAAAAUACACGAUCUUUAGUCUAAAUCUCUCUUUGACUAUAAACAACGUCUAAAAUCGGUUCCUACAAUUUUUACUUGAUCUCGACUUCUUCCUUCCAAACUCAAGAAUUCUCCUCCAAACGUCCGUUUUGCAUCGACCUUUACUCAGUCCUACCAGUUCCUUGACUUGUCUGAAGGUGAUAGAAACUCCAACUCCGUCUGUAGUAGCUUCCACACAGCUUUAUCGAAGCAAUCUUGAAGAAAAUAAACUCGUUCUUUUUCACAGUUGGAUUGCCGAUCUCAGACAGUCAGAAUUGAGUUUUUACCUUGACUUGUUUUUCCUAGGUAAAAUUGAAACGUAAAAUCGUAGAGUUUAUCUCAUUAAAAUAAUAUUAAAUUCACACACACACACACACACAUACACACACGCGUGCGCGUGCAUGCAUGGACACGUAUACGCGCGCGUACACGCACACAUGCACAUAUGCUCACACAUGCAUGUAACAUGAGCACACACGCACACACACACACACACACACAUACACACACACACACACACACACACACACACACACACACACUUGCACACACUCGACACACACACACAUACAUACAAACACACACCCACACACAUAAGCACAUACACACACACACACAUGCAUGCUUGCACGCACGCACGCGGGCGCGCGCACACACACACACACACACACACACACAAACGCACGGUAAAUGCACACACACACACAAACGCACACGUAAAUGCACACGUGCACACACACGCACGUGCACACACACAAUGAGAUUUAUCAUGUCAGAACCAAGCAUAUUGAAUGAUGUGAGUAUGAGUGUUCAUGGAUGUGGGUCAACCCAUGAACCUGUUGACCCAAACCUAACCAACCCAUAAAUUAUCCGAACUUAUUCAUUUACGAGUAUACCCAAUCCAAUCCUUAACAACCCGUAUAAUUUUGGUUCGGGUAUCGGGUUUGAGUUUUGCAACCCGUUGACCCAACCCAUUGAUGUGACUUUAAUAAUUUCUUAUUAUUUAUUUAUUAUAUUAAAUAAAAAUAUAAAAUUAAUAUCAAACUAAUAACCAUAAUUUUUCCAUUUUUUUUAUUCUCCACCAAUAAUACUACUAGACGAAUGAGUUUACGUAAUUCUAAGAUUAAAUGUUGUUUCUUAUUUUCUUUUGUAUCAUUUGCAACUUAUGUAUUUUAUGGAAAUAAUGUGUCUUUUUGAACUUUAUAAUAUUAUCAAGUGUUAUGUCGUGUUGAUGAAUUUUAUUAGAUCUUAUAUGACAUGUUUUAUCUAAUUUGAGUGUUAUAAAUGAGUAUGAUUGUAUUGAGUCGCGUUACAUUUUUUUAAACCGACAAAAAGAGUCAUAAAAAUUAUAUUUUUUCUUUGAAACACAACCUGCGAACCCAACUCAACCCAACCCAUAAAUGAACGGGUCGAUUCAGGUCAGUUUUGACAAUGAAAUUGCGAGUUUAGCGAUGGACCCAAUUCAUUGAAAUUUGAAUGAGUUGGAUAAUGGUAUAUGUCAAAUCUGGUCUAACCCAACCCGUGUACACCCCUAGAUGUGACAUUUCAAAAGACCAAAAAGUAACUUACAUAUAGACAAGUAUUACUUGAAAAAGUUCAUACUUCAGAUUAUGUAACUGAUAUGUUGAACAAAUCCGUCAUUAGUGACAAAUUCAAGCAUUGUUUAAGCUUGUUACACGUUUCUCAGUGUUAAGUAGGAGGUGUAUCUCCAUAGUUUUCAAGAUGUGAUCGCCAUGCUAUAAGUCCGUAUAGGGGUUUGACAUUUACUAAGAUGAAGAUUUUGAGAAAGUCUCGUAUUAUGUAAAACCUUCAAACGAGUCAUAGAUCCAAUAGUUUGUUGUGGGUAUCUAUGGAAUAUAUAUAUAUAUAUAUAUAUAUAUAUAUAUAUAAUAUAUAUAAUAUAUACUAUAUAUAUAUAUAUUAUUAUAUAUAUAUAAUUUAUAUAUAUAUUAUAUAUAUAUAUAAUAUAUAUAUAUAUAUAUAUUAUUAUAUAUAUAAGUUUAGAAGUACAAAAGUAUUAUUGUAAACUGAAAAUAAUAUUAUAUAUAUGAUUUGUAUCAAUGUAACCCUACUUCAUAAGACACAAAUUAAAAGAAUUAUAAUUGUUCUAUAGUCACAAAAGUGUACACCAUUGAUCAUACCGUAUUAACAAAGAUUAGUCGUAUUUAUUGUCUUUUAUUUCCGUUUUCAUAUUGGUUGUUAUUCUUUGUUGGGGUCUUUUACCCUUUAUAUUUAAUAUAUUAUCUUGCCUUUAAAAAAUAGUAUACAAACUAAUUUGGGAAAGUAUCUAAAUCAUUAGCAACCACUAUCUAAAAAAAUUGUUUUCACAUAUUAAGAAAUUUAGGGAAGUUUAAUGAAUUUUCUCGACUUUUUUGUUGUUGUUGUAAGAUAUAAGUUAAAUUUAUUAAAUUAUCAUUUUUUAUAUUUAGAGAUUUAACUAUCCGUAUUAGAUGUUUUGAAUAAAAUGAAAUGUAUAUUAGAAAUAAUAUCAUUAAAUAGUGUAGGCCUUAAAACCUUUUUAAUAGUUGGGAAAGAUCAGAUAGCUAAACUUAAAUGCCUAUUAAUCAAAUCACAUAAAGGAGGAAAAACACCAAAUACUAUUACUAAAACAUAAAAUUGUAAAAGAAACAUUUUAGUGUUAACAAUAUUAUCAACCCUCGGGGUUAGUCAUCACAAAUUUCUUGUAGUGCUUCGUCAAAACUAUCUUGGGUUUCUAUAUAGUUUCUGUAUUAAAUUCUCAGAUGUGAAAUACAUAUUUUGAAGGUAACAAUUGUACCAUAAACAGCUGCAAAUGACAGAUGAAAUUAAUUUAACUGAAUAUAACUUUGGAUCAAACUUUUUGUUAUAAAAAGCUGUAGCUCCAAUAUUAUGAAGCACAAACAUUUGAAAUACGACGCUGCUGACACGUUAACACAAGUAAUAAUUUUUAAAAAAUGAAUAAAUUAAGCGUAAUCACAAAUAUAGGUGUUGGAUUCGGAUACAGACGCUGACACAUACACACAUUUUUUCCCGAGGUGUCAGUGCUAUAUAACUAUAAUCCAACUACAAAUUUUCAACUUUUUAACUACCAAAUGCUAAUCUCUAACCUCUGGCAAAGAUCAUAGCCAUCAUCUAGCACCUGCAGCCAUAACUCUUCAAGCAUUGUGUAAAUGUUGCUCCUUUGUGGAUGUGAGCUAUCUUCAGAGAAGAAUAUAUGGAUCUUAUCCUUAACUUCUAUCCAGCUUUGACCAGGUACCUUUUGUACACCCAUUUGUUUCAUUAGGUUCCUUAGUGUAGCAACAUCUUCCCAAUUACCAGCAGAAGCAUGUAUGUUAGAAAGCAUCACCAUUGCCGCAGAGUUGGAAGGAUCGAGUUUUAGUAUAUUUUCUGCAGCUCUCUCUGCAAUGUCAACUUUAUUAUUAUGAGUUUUACAAGCAGCAAGUAGAGUUUUCCAAGUAGUAAUGUCAGGGUCAAAUUCUGAUUUCUGAAUAAAAGUCUCUGCUUCAUGGAAGCAUCCGGCACGAGCAAGCAAAUCAACCAUGCAAGAGAAGUGUUCUCUUGUCGGUGGAAUUCUGUAUUCUGUUUCCAUGGAUUUAUAUAAACGCCAGCCUUCCUCCACUAAUCCAAUGUGACUGCACGCGCUGAGAGCCCCGAGAUAUGUGACCUCGUUAGGCCGAACGCCAAGAUUUGUCAUAACUUUAAAGAGAUUAAGAGCUUCAUGUCCAAGUCCAAACUGAGCAUAACCAACAAUUAAACUACUCCAUGAGACAAUAUUUGGGCUCUGCGUUGAAUCAAAAACGUCGCGAGCAUGUUUAAGUGAUCCACAUUUUGCAUACAUGUCAAUCAAUCCAUUGCACACAGAAACAUCAAGCACUAGCCCACUUUUAAUACUAUAGCAAUGCACUUGAUUUCCGACACCUAAAGAUGUCAGCUCAGCACAGGUUCCUAAUAGAGUAGUUAUGGUGAUACUGUCAGGCUUAUUUUCAGAAUAAAGCAUUUGUUUAAAUAAUCUGAAAGUCUCUCCUUCUUGCUUGUGCUGCAAGCAUGCUGAAAGAAUUGCAUUCCAAGAAACUAAGUUGGCAUUUCCGCUUACAUCUCUGAAAACAUUUAAUGCAUCAUAUAGAUUUGAGCACUUUGUGUACAUGGUUAACAAGGAGUUGCAUACCGAUACUUCCUUAUCGAGACCGAUUUUGACAAUGUAAGAAUGAAUGUGCAUACCCUGGUUAGAUGCUGUGGGGCUCCCACAAGCGCAAAGUAAGGAAAUAAAAGUAACGUUAUCUGGGAUCAGUCCUGUUUGCAUCAUCCGAUGGAAAAAAUCUAUGGCUUCAUUAGCAUCACCAUUGUCAGCAAAUGCUGCAAUAAUUGCAUUCCAUGACACUAUAUCAGGGCUUUUAAUCUGAUAGAAUGCCGUCUUUGCCGAAGGUAAAAAUCCGAAUUUUGCAUACAUGUCACAAAGGGAGCAUCCAGCGAAAACGUUCCUCCCUAAACCGAAUUUAGCGCACAUUCCAUGUACUUGCUUUCCAUACUCUAGUUCAAGAAGGUUGCUGCAAGCACUGAAAACACUGCCAAAUAUGAACUCAUUUGGCUGAUAAACUCCCUGCCUGAGCAUAUCUCGGAAAAUAUAUAAAGCUUCUAUCCUAUAACCUUGUUGAGUAUAUCCCGUAAUCAUGGAACCCCAAGAAAUUAAAUCCUUUGUAGAAAUCGUUGUAAAUACAUUUGACGCAUGUGUGAUUUGUCCGAAAUUUGUGUACAUUGAAAUAAGAGCAUUUAGGGAGAUCAAGUGAUGACCAAACCAUGAUUUAAUGACAUGAGCAUGCAGUUGCCUACCUAAACCUAUAUCCCCGGCAAUGUAGCAAGCCUUAAUUAUGCUUCCAAAGGUUAACUGGUCCGGAAAUUGACCCGAUUGCAUCAUUUGAAUAUACAUGAUGAUGGCAUCGUUCUCUUGACUGUUCUGUGAGUAUCCGGAGAUCAGUGAAGUCCAAGAGACCACAUUUCGUAGCUGCAUUGUGUCAAAAACUUUUCUAGCAUCAUUCAUAGAACCACAUUUUCCAUACAUGUUAAUAAUAUGAUUUUGGAGAAUCAUGCUUGGUUGGCAGCUGGAUUUUGAAAUGUGAUCAUGGAUUUUCUUUGCAUAUUCAAGUGAUCUAGAGUUGGCGCAAGCCAAAACUAAACUCGUAUACGUGCUUGGUUCAAAAUGGAUAUUCGGAUUCUUUAGAUGAAAAUCAAACACUUCCAGCGCUUCUUUGUAAUGCUGUUGCUUACACAACAAUAUUAUGUAACUAUUAGUCGGUAGCUCUGUACUUAGAUUAGAGACAGUUGCUGGUUGCAGAACAGGUCUUACAUGAUUAUGCAUACAUCGAAUGAAGCUUCGAAUUGUCAUAGACAUGGAUGGGGUUUUUGAAAACUAGAAAAAGUAAAACUACUGUUAUUUGACGACAACGGAAGAAACCUUAAAGGGCAAGAUGGUUUCAGGACAGUGAAGUGGUUACAAAUGAGGGUUUCUGAUUCUGACUAAGGAUAUAACAAAAAACAGUAGUAGGAUGAUCAGAAAGUGAGUGUUUCCAAUGUAAAUAUAUGAAAUAUUAACAUGAACCAUGUAACUAAAUAUGCUAUAUUAUGCUAAAGCCACUUCCUAUAUGUUACUAUCUCGCUGUGGCAAUUUGUCAAACAGCUACUAUGCAACAAAAUUGCAUUCUAAAAUGUGUACAACAAUGAGUUAGAAAAACUGUAUAAGUGCAUAAUGAUCAUCUUUAAAAUAGUUUAACAACUCAAAAUUGGAGGAAAUUUAUGGAUUCCAAAACCACAAAAAAGUUAUGAUAACUGAAAAUAACGCACCUGAAGUCUCUGGUUAGUGCUCAACCAGAGAGAAUACUAAUGUCACGUGCUUAUUGUUAUUGUUAUUACAAAACUACCCACUAUAUUUUCUUUAUUUAUAAAAUUUAUGUUUUUAAGAUAAAAAACAUAAAAUUUUAAAUAAUUCAUUUUUUCAAAUAAAUAUCCAAAAUAACUCAUUUUUUCAUCUAUUUUUCAAAAUAACCAACUUUUAAACAAAAAAAAAUUUCAAAACAAAGGAGGCGUCAAUCCAAUUGACGUCUGUGUACAUCACAUAAGAGGAGAAGACAAUCCAAUUGACGACAUUGUACAAACACGUAGGAGGGAGAAUAUACUUUCUCUCCUAUACGUUUGUACAUUAUCGCCAAUUGGAUUGACCUCUCCUCGACCUCUCCUCCUCUUCUGUGUUGUACACGGACGCCAAUUAUAUUGACGUCUCAUUUAUUUUGAGAUUUUUUUUUAUUUGAAUGUGGAUUACUUUAAAAAAUAAUUAAAAAAGUGAAUUAUUUAAUAUUUAUUUGAAAAAAAUUAAUUAUUAAAAAAGAAGACAUCCCUUGUCAUUUAGUCAUUGAGUUAAGUGAAUAAUAUAAAAAAGAAAUUUUAACUUUAAUUAUUUGUUAAAAUAAAUUAUUUUUAAUUAAUAUUUUAUUUUCUCUCUAUGACAACCACACAUUUAAAAAAUAUGAAGCAGGUGUAAAAUUGGUGGGACAAUACUUCAAAUCAAAUUAAUAUGCAACGACUUUGUUCAAGCCCACAUUAUUAUCUUACUUCUAUUUGCAAUAAUUCUAUACUCCAAAUAUUCAUUAUGCUCAUAAUUAUCCUGCCAAAAAAAUUCCACAGUCAAACUUUAAUUAAAUUUUUUUAUGCACAUUCCUCUAAAUUGAUCCAAAAAAGUACCAAUUCAGCCUAAAUUAUAAACUAAACAAAUCCUAAUCACUAAUCAGCAAUAAUCACUAAUAAUAGUUAAAGAGACAGCUGCUACAAAAAAAAAAAAUAGAUUGGUACCAUCUCAACAGCUAUUUGGUAUAAGAUAGCAACUCAUCCUCUCACUCUCACAUAAAAAAUUAUUUUUCAUAUUCUUUAUAUAUAUUACUUUUGCUUCAAGUCACAACCAAGUGAAGCAAUUCCAAACAAAAACUAGUAAUUUAGUUUGAAAGUAUCAAUCAUAACCUCAUAAAAUUUCAAACGUUUUCUUUAACACCAAUACUUUAUACUUUAUGUUCCAUUUUAAAUAACCUUCUCUUCACUUCAUUCUCUUCCAACCUGAAAAUUUUCUGGUCAAUUUUUUCAUAACAUGGGUUCACUAGAAAGGUCAAAGAAAAAAACCCAUUUAUGGAAAAAAGCCAUGCUUCAUUUUUCUCUAUGUUUUGUUAUGGGUUUUUUCACCGGUUUAGCUCCAUCAGGUAAAUCUCUAAUAUUUUCUAGCAAAAUUGAAGUUGCAUUUGCAGUUUCAAACGUAACAGAGUUUGUAACAGCAGCACCUCAACCUUCUCAAACUUCAACGAAAAAUAGUAACAAAAGUUGGAUAGCUUCAGCACCGAAAAUCCAUAGCCAAAAAACAAAGUUGCAUGCAAAACCACUACCUCAGUUAAAGCCGAAAAGACUUGUUAUCAUAGUAACUCCAACUAGCACAAAACUACCUUAUCAAAAUGUUUUUCUGAGAAGGUUAGCGAAUACUAUAAAGCUGGUUGAUCAACCGGUGCUUUGGAUUGUCGUCGAGGCGAAAACCGAUUCGCCGGAGUUGUCGGAGAUUUUAAGGAAAACUGGUAUCAUGUACAGACAUGUUGUUUUCAGUGAAGAGUUUGAGGAUUUAGAAGGUGAAUUGAAUCAUCAGAGAAAUUUAGCACUUAGUCACAUUGAACAUCAUAGAUUGAGUGGGAUUGUUCAUUUUGCUGGACUUUCAAAUGUUUAUGAUCUUCAAUUCUUUCAACAGCUUAGAGAUAUUGAGUAUGUUUUCUAACCCUUCUAUUUGCUUAACUAAUUAUUAAUUAUAUUAUUAUUAUUUUGUUGUCUUAUAGUGAUUUGUUCUAAUUUAAAUGUAGCUAGUGGGGGGAAGUUUUAAAAAUAAGCAAAUUUUUUUCAAUUAGAUGGAGAAAAGUUAGUGAGAAAAUCUUUAGGUAUACCAAAAGAUGAUGAUGAUAACUUUAGUGAAUCUUCAACUUAGAUAAAAAAUCAUAUACAAAGAAGACUAUUUAAUUAAAUAUGUAUAAAAUUAUUUUUUAAAAUUAAUAUUAAUAGUAUUUUUUGUAUUAGUAUUAAUAUUAUUACAUAAGAUUUUGUUAUUAGAAUUUAUUUAUAAAUUUGUUGAUAUUUUCAGUAACUUAUGUUUAUUAAUUAACAUUAAUAUAACAUUUUAAAACUUCAUAUUAAAUAUUAAAAUAUAAUUUAAUAUCACUUACUUAUGAGUUUGUUAAUAAAUUUUAAAUAUGACUUUAGAAAAUAUAAAAUUUAUUGAACUUUAAAUUAAAUUAUAAUAAAUUACUUGUCAAAUUUUAAAAGCUUUUAUCUGAUAAGACUUAAUUCAGUAAAAAUUUACAUGUUAAUAAAAUCAAAACUAUCAUUGAAGUAAAUUUUUUUAAUGAUCUACAAAUUAUGAUAUUUUACAAUUACUAGUUGAUUUUUAAAUUUUUUAAAAAACUUAUAUGCUUAAUUUUCUUUAAUAUUUUUACAAAAUAAUGUGUUUCAAUAUUUUAAUUGUGAUUAAUGUGACAAUUGAGCAGGGUCUUUGGGACAUGGCCAACAGCAUUAUUACUUGCAAAUAGAAAAAGAGUCAUACUUGAAGGACCUGUAUGUGACUCAUCUCAAGUUAUUGGAUGGCAUUUAAGAAAUAUGAACAAUGAAACAAUAACUCCUCCCAUUCAUAUUUCAAGUUUUGCAUUCAAUAGCUCCAUUCUUUGGGACCCUGAAAGAUGGGGUAGAACUUCAUCUGUUAAACACACUUCUCAGGUAAUUAAUCACUUCAUAAUCAUGUUUAAUCUCAUUCUAAAAUAGGUAAUUAAUUAAGUUAGUUUAUAUCACUCCUUCACUUUUUACAAUUUUACUUGCGUCUACUUAACAUUUACCCAACUACUUUAAAAAGAAAACUCAAACGCAAGAAAAAUUAUGCAUUAAGUAAUGUAUAAUGACAACAUGAUUAAUUAGUUGAACUAAUUGAAUAGAACAAUACUACUAAUUAUGUAGUGUUUUCUACUCCAUGUAGUAAUGUUUUCUACCAAACAAUUUUGUUGCUAUUUUGUUUUUUUUGUCAUAAUAAUGAUGCUACUUUUUGUGUGGUUAUCUUAGAAUUCAAUCAAGUUUGUGAAGCAAGUAGUUCUAGAAGAUGAAACAAAGUUGAAGGGAAUUCCACCAUAUUGCUCCAAAAUAUUGUUAUGGCGUUUCAACUUCUAUGCUCGUGCCAUGUCCAAGCAUUAAUUUGUAGGAUAUUAGAGAGAAUAAGGAAUUUGAAGCAAUUCACAAAUUGCUUUUCUACUACAAAAUAUAUGAAAUUUAUUCAUUUUUUUUACCUUUUGUAAUUGUAUUUCGUAUAUAGUUUUUUUCUUCGUUCAUAAUUUUUGUUAGUUUAUGUAAGAGAGGCAAAACAUUUAAAGCAUAUUUUAUAUUUUUAUUUUUUUGAUAUAAAGGCACUAGAGUUUCUAGCAUAUUACUUAAUGCACCAUAAACAUUAUUUACUCUUGUAAAAAAUUAAAAUUAUCCUUAGAAUUUAGAGGUGCAUCCCGGAUGCAUACUAUUUACAUAAAUUAUUUUGUUUUUGAGUCACACAUUAAUUAUAAUUAAAUUUUAUCUAGAAAUGCAUAUAUGUAUUUUAUAUAGAUGUAUUUCUGAAUCCUAAUGAAUCAAGAACAAUUGCAUAAAUGAAACAGAUACACAGUCAGAGAUAAAUUAACAUCAAUAAUUGUUAUGACAUACAUAAAAAUCGAAACAUUAUAUUGAUAAUUGUUAUGACAUGCAUAAAAAAAUGAACUAUACAUUUCAUCAUCAAGUAUGACGUUGCAAUAUCUUCAAAAUAUCUUCGGUGGAUCUCGUAAUUUUCACAUCCAACUCGAUUGAACCUUUCGUUUUGUAAGGGUGAAAUGUACUCCACAUAACCCUUAAAUCAUCAUCUGUCUUCAGCUCAAACUUACUGAACUGAAUGUUUCCUUCGUUAUCAAUCGAGGGUGAACGACACUUGAGUUUGAUAACUUUUUGAUUGUCUAAGUAUUCUAGAAGAUUCUCAAAAUAUGCAUUUCAGAUCUGCAAGAGAGGUGUACUCAGUGACCUUAAAUUCAAGUGAGACAUUCACGACGUUGAAGUAGACAAAUGCGACAUGCCAAUAUAUGUUAAUUCUGGUGUAAUGUGACUUUGUUAAAAAUUUGAGAUGAGAGAUCCAUUUUAUACAAGUUUUAGGUCAAUAUGGAACUUAGAAAUUCAAUCAUGUCCCAAGGGAAAUUCCGUAGAUGUACUUCUUAAAACACCCUACUUUGUUGUGUGAAAUUUAUGAAAAUAUGGUGCAUCAGAAAAUACAUUUUUGAAUAAAUUCAUGUUCGUAUUUUUUUAAAAUAUUUGGGAUGAAUCCAGAAAUGCAUUUUCGGAUGCACCAGAGACUGUUUGCUUAACCAAUUUCAGAAACAGAACCUGUUUUCCAAUAGAAAAUGGAGAAAUAUUUUGAAAAUUGAAACAAAUAUUAAAAUCUAUGAAAACAUAUAUAUUUAACAUCAUUAAUAUUAAUAUAAAAUUACAUACAAUACAUGUCUAACCAAAUAAACACACUGUUGAAUAAAAACUAAAAUGAAUCAAAACAUGUGUCACCGUCUAAAUCUAUAUGUAUGAGAAUUACACAUUUGACUUUUGUUUAUUUGUUUCUAUUUCAAUCUCGCUCAACUUGGUGAAUUCUUGCAUCCUAUCCAUAAAAGGAUUCAACAAAGUCUCAGUUUUCCAUGUUGAAUGAGUUGUCCACUCCAGGGUGUUAGGGGUACAGGGCAUCCUGAUUUCAAAACUAAAACAAAGUGUCACGUUUUUGAAAGUCAUUCAAUACACAUAAUACGAUCAAUUGGAUUUUGAGGUGGGACAAUGUAUAGUGGAUUUUUUUUUCGAAAACUAUAUCUUGUCAGAUCAAUACACACCUUAUUAUAUGCAUUUGUUAUAAGAUGACUCAUUUUAGUGAAGUACAUCCAUUUUUCUUCUGGCGUAGCUCCCCUAAUGCAAGGAAUAAGAGAUUCAUGAUAUGCACCAAAAUUUUCUUUUUUUCCGUAUAACACGUGUGUGAUUCUUUAUAGUCGUGUGUAUGAUUCUUUAUGCACCAAAAUGUAUGAUCAUCAUCUCCUUUACCGAGCAAAGCAGAAAUAUAUCGAAAACCGCCAUUAUCGUUGCCCUCAAUAUUCAUGAUCCGUUCUGAAGGGAUUUAAAGGAGAUUUUUCAAAAAUUUUGAUCCCCUUAGUGGAACAAUCCCGAUGAAUGGAUCUUAAUUAAAUCACUAAUCACGAAUCAAACACAAAUAAAGGUUUUGAAUUCUCUCUUGAAAUGUGCUUUAACUUUGAUCAUGAACGUGAAAAAUAACACCGUCUCUAUGAAGUCUACGCGAGUACAAAGUCGAACGUGAUGCUAGCAUUUUCUUUUUCUGAGAAUGACUUUGCAAAGGAAAUAAUUUUUCUAUUUAUAGAGAGCUACUAAAACCCUAAUAUGUUCUUAUUUUGGUCUUUGUAAAAAUAAGCUCAAUCUUAUUUAAUUAAAUAAUUUUAAUUAAAUAAAAUAUAUUUUAUAUUUAAUUAAAUUUUUUAAUUAUAUAAAAUAAAAUAUUAAUUAAAUUAAUCAUAUUUAAUUCAAUUAAUUAUCAAUUCUCAUUUAUUUAAUUAAAUUAUAUUUAAUCAAAUAAAUUAUAUAUGUAUUAAUAUAUUAAAUAAUCUAAAUACUCUUAACACAUGAUUAAAUUAAAUUAAAUCUUAUUUAAUUUAAUCAUUCAUUCAAUUAUCAGUACUCUAUGGGUGAUACUUAUUUGAGGACGAACAUGCAUUUUACAGUCAUACUCGUUCAAGGGUCCAUAAAUAUUAUUCCAGUAUAUAUAGGAGAUACAAAUCUCAUAUAAGUCAUCCAUGUCUCUUAACAUGAUUUAUAAAAUAUUCAUCCAUCAUCUUUAUAUCUUUAUAGGAAUUCUUUUAUGGAUAACUUUUGAAUGUAGUGUGUACUCAUUUAUGUAAUACCUAUAGCACUCGGUUGUUUUUCUUUGGUUUAUCAAAACAACCGAUGCUUGUUUUAGUGUUUUGACCAAUAUUUGAGAAUUGAAAUAAGUUCUUUUAAGUAGUCAUAAUUGCUCUCCAAACCAACGCCAGCUAGAGUUUAGUAACAGUUUAACUUGUAUAAACUUGCAUAUUAAACAAUUUAAAUUGAAUCGUUCACAAUUAUUAACCAAUGUCAUAAAGUGGUAUAAGUCCGACCCCUGUUAAUUCAUGGAUAAUCUGCAAACUUUAACAAAACAAAUAAUUUUAAUAUUUACUUAAAACUACCUUAAAGUAUAUUUGGAAAAUAUCUUUUAUCAUAGACCAAAUUAUAAGAGAUAAAUGUAUAUUUACUUUUAAAAUAAUUAUUAUAGGAGUCACUUAUAACUUAGGGUCUAAAUGAUUUAACUCACACAAGCUACAAUUUUAACGGAUUCAAAAGUUGGUCCAAUUGCUUAGUUUAGAAUUCUUUAAAAAAUCUAUAAAACUGAACUAUAAAUUUGAACCAUAUUGUUGUUAAAUAAAUUAAUCAUUCAUUUUUAAAUAACAAAAUUAAAAGAACAACACUGCAAAUAUAUAAAAGGUGAGAUACUAGGUUCGGGAGUCAUUUAAGUGAGAGAAAAAUAUUAGACAUCUCUCACCUCCAUUGUAUUCAAUGAAAUCCUCCUCUAAAUCUAGGGUUAGUGUGUUUUUAAGAGAAUUUUGCUUUAAUAUUUAUUAAUUAUUUAAUUAUUUAUUUAUUUAACAAAAAGAUAUUUGAUUAGAGAAAAGAAAAAUCAAUUACAAAAGAAGACUAAAAAAUGUUUUUGAUUAUUAUACUUGCUAGAAUCUUACAACUCUAACUCUAUGCCUACGUACCAUUACUUUUAAUGAAAGAUCAGAGUCUCGUAGUUCUGGUAGAAAAAUGUUUGUAGUUUUUAUCCCUUAAAAAUUCUUAAGCAUCGGGGACGAAAAAGUAAUUGAUUUUGAAAAAUGCAUCAAUGCACUAUGGCAGAUGACUUAUAGUUUGAGGUGAGUUUAAAUUAAUUUUAUUCCAAUUAUUGAUUAAAAAAAUAUAGUACUUAAUUUAUUUAUGAAAAUAAAUAUUAUAUAUUUAUAAGACAUAUCUCUUAUCCCGAUUGUAUCCCCGAUUUAUCCCUUAUUUUUAUCUCUUUGAAAUCCUAAAAAUCUAUCCCUUAUUUUAUCCCAUGUUCUUAUCCCCUUUGAUUGCAAAAAUAUAAUAUAUUAAAUAACUUAAAUAAGAUGUAAUAUGAUGUAUCCCUUAUUUUUAUCUCUUUGAAAUCCUAAAAGUCUAUCCCUUAUUUUAUCCCAUGUUCUUAUCCCCUUUGAUUGCAAAAAUAUAAUAUAAUUAAAUAACUUAAAUAAGAUGUAUCCCUCAUCCCGAUUUUAUCCCUUAAAACCCUAUAAAUUAUCCCUAAAAUUUCUUGAUUUAAUUAUCCCUAGUUUCUAUAAAUCCCUAAUUAAUAUGACUAUUCUAAAUAAUUGAUGAAGAAUCCAACUUAAAAAUAAAUAUUAAAUUAAUGAAAUCCCCGAUUAUUAGUUUAAUUAAAUCCAAUUAAUUUUAAUAAACCAACCUUAAUAAUUAAAUUCCUAAAACUAUAUAUUCAUUAAAAUAAAUAUAUUUUAAAAAACAGGGGGGGUGUAUUAUGGUACUAAAUAAACAAUUGGGCUUGAAGCUGGGGUGUGGGAAGCAAUGGAAAGAAAGGCCCAAUACUCUCUGAAGUCUAACGCAUGGGGGUCUAUAGAAGGAGAGAGUCAAUCGUUGACUCUCUUUGGUUCCUUUGAUCAAGAUCAUGGGGAUGUUAUUACACUUAAUCAUAGCCUUUGGUUUGAUUGACUGGUCAAAGUAUAUAGAGUGUAUGAUUGAAAUGCAGAGUCAAAAGGGGACUCGGGGUAUACACGCAUACACAACGGGUGAGUUUUUUCCUGCAUUGCCCUCCUAUUGAAUUUUUUUAUCCAAUAUGCCCCAGUCUGAAAAUAAUUUCCCAAUCUACCCCCUUUUUCAAUUAGGGCUCGCCACUUCAAACGACGAGGGGAUGAAGGCCUAAUUUACGCAGUUAGGGCUCGUCACUUCAAGUGACGAGGACAUGAAGAAGGAUUUUUUUUUAAUAUUUUAAAUAUUGUAUUAAAUAAUAAUAAUAAUUAAUAUAAUUAAUUUUUAAUUAUUAAUUCUAUAUUUAAUUAAUAUAAUUGAUUUAAUUAAAAAUAAUAAUAAUUUUUUUAUAAAAAAAUAUUUAAAAUAAAUUGUAAAUAAUUAUAGUUUUUCAUGAUAAUAAAAAAAUUGUGAUANUGUAGAAAUUGAAGAGAGUAAAUAUUUGAAGAGGGUAAGAAUGUGUGAAAUAGAAAUUGUAGGUAGAUGAUGAGUAAGAAGUGUAGAAGUAUUGAUUAUUUAUAGUGGUAAAAUUAUAAUAAAAAAAAUUGGUAAAAGUUUGAAUAGUAGAGGAUUAGACAUUGCAUUGCAUGUCAUGCAUGCAAAAAAAAUUGUAAGGAUUCCCUGUAACAUGAGAUUCCCACGCUGAAGGGAAAACACAAUGCCAAUAGCCUGCACUAUGGCUCGUCACUUUGAUGGACGAGCUGUACCUACUUCUUUGAGGCCUCGUCAAAUGGAAUGGCGAGGUGAUUCAUCCUCUUUGUUGCCUCGUCAAAUGAAGUGACAAGUUCUGUAUGUCUAGGGUUUUGUCUCGUCAAUCCAAGUGAUGAGCUAUCACAUGCCAAUUUCCUCACGCGUUUCCCUACUUCUCCCUCCUCUAUUUAACUUAAAAUCAGCAUGUGAUUUGGAUAUUGUAUUAUAUUCACACCAAAUCAAACUCAUAUUUCCUAUAAAUACUACUAACUUCCUCAUUUACAUUCACCAAAUCAAAUCCUCAUUUAUAUUCACACCAAAUCAAAUCCUCAUUUAUAUUCACACUAAAUCAAAUAUUACACAUCCAUGGCUCAAAGAAAUUUAGUUGUUUCUAUCCAUUCCGAAGGGUCACUUUUCACAUAUUCAAGUGAGGGAUUCUCAUUUUGCAAUACGAAUUUAACUAUGUUCAAAAUCCACAUCAACUCCGACUUUCAUAAUUUAAAAGACCGUAUUGAAAAGAAGUUGCAACGUUAUGUUGAAGACAUCAUUUAUCGUCAACCAUUAUUUAAUGGAGAUGAUAAUACCGUCUUUCACAUAAUGACACCGAUUAAGACCGACGAAGAAAUUUGUUGUUCAAAUCCAAAUUGGAGUUUGACUCGAUCCGUCUGAUGCAUCUCAACGGUAUAGAAACAUAUGAUAUAUGUUGUUGCACUCCAGACUCGGCUGUCAUUAUAAUCAGGCACUGGAUAUUAUAUGUACGGCCUCCAAAUAAACUGUUAAAAGAAAUAUAACUAUUAGAAUGUAUAUUAAAUUUAAAUAAGUUAAAUAUUUUAAUUAAUCAUUCUUACAUCUUUUUCUUCCAUGUGUUCUAUUGCAACACGGUACCCUUGUACAUGAUGUCGAGGAUUAUUUCGAUAAUUCAUACCUCGUUUGCACCAUCUUGCAUAUUAAAAAAAAUAUGUUAAAUUGACGUAUAAUUUUUUUUUGAUAAAUAUAAAUUGCAUUUAAAUGAAAAUCGUUACCUUAAACCUCGUUACUAACCGGGGCUAUCAAGGGUAUGCGUGUGAAUGCCCAUACAGUUAGUAAUACCACACAUCCUCCUAUGCUCUUUACUCCUCUAUGGGCCGCCUUGCACAUAUGUCUAUAUAGUGUAGCCAAACAAGCAGAACCCCAACUGUAUGAAUUACAUUUUUCAAGGUCUCCUACUAAAGGUAACCAAGAAGAAUGCAACAAAUUGUGACUUUUAUCUGGCAUUAAAAAAGUAGCAAUUAAAAGUAAAAUAUAAAUUUUUGCAUGUAAAAUAUUUUCUGCCUCGGACGGGUUAGGGUUAUUUUUUAGUUGCGUUAAUACUGCGUCUAGCCAAACAAUUUUGACAGAAGCCCCAUUUUUAUCCGAGGGCGGUUGGUUCGAUGCCCAAAUUUUCCAUGUAAACGGCACUGGUUACGUUUGUUGGGCCAUUGACAGCUUUUCCAUGGAUUCGGAGACCGAAUAACAUACUCACAUCCUCUAAUGUGAUGGUACAUUCACCUGUUGGUAAAUGAAAUGUAUGUGUCUCCGGUCUCCAUCUCUCUAACAAUGCCACAAUGAGUUUAGAGUCUACUUUUAGACUUGCAAUUUUUGCCACAUUCGCAAAACCUGCUAGCUCCAAGUACGGUAUUAUAACCGCACUUGGUUGAAUAUAUGAAUGCAAAUGAACCCGAAAUUUUCCAUCUUGCUGAAAUUAAAAUAAAUAACAGUAAUGAAUAUUUGGUCUAAUAAAGAACGGAAGUAAAAAACGAUAAUAAAAAACGAUAAUAAAAAACGGUAAAUUUGAAUGAGACUUACGUAUUCGACAAUGUUUGCCGCCGUCCCACGGUGUGAUUCACCCAUCCAUAAGAAAGACAUCUUGAAAGGAAGUGUAGAAAUUGAAGAGAGUAAAUAUUUGAAGAGGGUAAGAAUGUGUGAAAUAGAAAUUGUAGGUAGAUGAUGAGUAAGAAGUGUAGAAGUAUUGAUUAUUUAUAGUGGUAAAAUUAUAAUAAAAAAAAUUGGUAAAAGUUUGAAUAGUAGAGGAUUAGACAUUGCAUUGCAUGUCAUGCAUGCAAAAAAAAUUGUUAAGGAUUCCCUGUAACAUGAGAUUCCCACGCUGAAGGGAAAACACAAUGCCAAUAGCCUGCACCUAUGGCUCGUCACUUUGAUUGACGAGCUGUACCUACUUCUUUGAGGCCUCGUCAAAUGGAAUGGAGAGGUGAUUCGUCCUCUUUGUUGCCUCGUCAAAUGAAGUGACGAGUGCUUUAUGUCUAGGGUUUUGUCUCGUCAAUCCAAGUGACGAGCUAUCACAUGCCAAUUUCCUCACGCGUUUCCCUCUGUCUCUCUCCUCUAUUUAACUUAAAAUUAGCAUGUGAUUUGGAUAUUGUAUUAUAUUCACACCAAAUCAAAUUCAUAUUUCCUAUAAAUACUACUACUUCCUCAUUUACAUUCACCAAAUCAAAUCCUCAUUUAUAUUCACACCAAACCAAAUCCUCAUUUAUAUUCACACCAAAUCAAAUCCUCAUUUAUAUUCAUACUAAAUCAAAUAUUACACAUCCAUAUGGAAUGAGUCAUUUAUCGUCAACCAUUAUUUAAUGGAGAUGAUAAUACCGUCUUUCACAUAAUGACACUGAUUAAGACCGACGAAGAUGUCAGGUCGAUGUUUCAAUGUCAUGUAACAUUAUCUCAAUUACCCAGCAUUGAGAUAUAUGUUCGUCUAGUCGAUAAUCUUGAAGAACAACCGAGUGACAAUGUUGAGGAACAACCGUCUCACAACGAAAAUCACUGUUAUCCAACGCAAUCUGUACAGUCACACGACUAUGGAAUGAGUCAAGCCAUUGACGAAGAGCCGACUCAAAAUAAUGAACCUUUCAUACCAAAUGAAGAGGUGGGCGAGAAUAGUGAGGAUGAUCUUGAGGAGGUUCGAUUUGAAGAUCUAUUCGGUGUUAGCGAUGACGAUGGCAAUGAGGAAAUAUUCGACACACCGGCCGUUGCACUAAGAGCGCAACCAAUUAGUUUGUACAACCCACCUGCGCACAUGCAAAACAUAAGUUUGGAUGAUGCCGAACCAAUCUCCGUUUUCGGCAGUUUCAUACCAACUCACAACUUUGACGAAAUAGAGGAGGGCAUAGAGUAUGAAGAUAAGGAAGAGUGUCUUCUGGCGUUGCAACAAUGGCAUAUAAAACGUAGUCUAGAUUUUUCUGUGGUUAAAUCUGACAGUGUAUGUUUUGUCAUCAAAUGUAGAAAUUCAACAUGCAAUUUCAAAUGCAGGGUCUCUUUGCGCAAGGGCAACUCAAGGUGGAGAGUUGGUAAGUCUAGUGGGCCUCAUACGUGCACAACCACUUCCAUGUCACAAGACCAUACAAAACUCAGUUCAGAAAUGAUUAGCAAGAGCAUAAUGGAGCUUGUAAAUCGGGACGCUUCUCUUAAGGUGAAGGUUAUCAUUGCUCAUGUUGUUGAGAAAUACCGGUAUAUCAUAUCAUACAAAAAGGCAUGGAUUGCAAAGUGUAAGGCGGUUGAGUCGCUCUAUAGAAAUUGGGAGACAUCUUACAACGAUCUUCUACAGUGGAUACUGGUAAUGAAAACAUAUCUACCAGGUACCAUUAUAGAAUUACAAACCCUACCUGUGAUUUCAAAUGAUGGUUCAUACUUGGGUGACCAAAGGAUAUUUCAUCGUCUGUUUUGGGCGUUUAGACCAUGUAUACGUGGCUUCGCGUAUUGUAAACCAAUUGUGCAGGUUGAUGGAACUUGGUUGUAUGGCAAGUACAGAGGGGCUCUGCUGAUGGAUGUGGCACAGGAUGGGAAGGGGAACAUAUUUCCGAUAGCGUUCGCAUUGGUUGAAAGUGAGACAAAGGAAGCCUGGAGUUUCUUUCUUAAGAAUUUGAGAAUGCAUGUUACCCCCCAAGCAAAUCUAUGCCUAAUAUCAAACAGGCAUGAAUCAAUAAAGAAUGCAUACAACAACCCGGAAAAUGGAUGGCAGUUUCCUCCUUCAUCACACGUCUAUUGCAUUAGACAUAUCGCGCAAAACUUCAUGCGGGAGAUUAAAGAUAAGGAUCUGCGGAAAAUAGUUGUUAACAUGGGUUAUGCGUUAACAGAGGCAACGUUUAACUACUAUCGGGGGGAAAUCCGAAGAACAAACAACGACGCUUUAUCAUAGAUAGACAACAUCCCUCGCGAGAAGUGGGCAAGGGCAUUUGACGGAGGGCAACGCUGGGGUCACAUGACAACUAACCUAGCAGAAGCAACGAACGCGGUGUUGAAAGAAACCCGGAACCUUUCAAUCACUGCAUUGGUCAAAUCUACGUACUAUCGUUUAGGAUCACUAUUUGGUAGAAGAGGCCAUCAGUGGACAAAAAUGUUAGCCUCUGGGCAGGUUUUCACUGAUAACUGCAACAAGGGGAUGGCUGAGGAAGUCAUCAAAGCUAACACGCAUAACGUCAUGCAGUUCGACCGAGAGAGAUUUUAUUUCAUGGUCCAAGAGAAGAUUAAUCAUAACGACGGUCGACCAACCGGAACGUUCAGCGUUGAUCUGAGGAAACAACACUGUGACUGUGGGAAAUUUCAGGCAUUUCACUUACCUUGCUCCCAUGUAAUCGCAGCAUGUUCGAGCAUACGCCAGGACUAUUCCAUUCACAUUCCAGACGUCUUCAAAAUUCGUAACGUCUUCAAGGUCUAUCAGGAGAGUUUCCUAGGACUUCCCCAUGAGGAGAAUUGGCCACAAUAUGAAGGAUAUACUCUUUGCCACGACGACUCUAUGAGAAGGAGGAAGAAAGGGCGCCCAAACAGCACCAGGAUUAGAACCGAGAUGGACGACGUUGAGAAGGAGAAGAGAAGGUGUGGAAUUUGUCGCGAAAUAGGACACAUGCGUAGGAAAUGUCCUAAUGUUGCAGGAUCAUCCCAACGACCUUCCAGAUGAUUAUCUUGUUGUUUUAAAUAUUCGUUCAGAUGACUAUGUUUAUUUAUUUAUUUAUUAACUACUAUGCACAUAAUAUAUAUAAACCAUUUUGUAUUUCUAAUGUCUUUUGGGAACAAACAUUUAUGAAAUACAUUUGAUAAUCAAAGGCUUCUGGUUACAAAGUACGACCACAUCAACUAAACAACAACAACAACCAACACAAGUGGUAAUUAAAAAACUAAUCAACAACAACAACCAACACAAGUGGACCUUCAACUCCUCUAUUAACUUCACCACUAUGUGCCGAAAACAUACAUUGGACAUCUUCAUCAUUUUCUAUACGAUCCAGGUAAUACAUGUACGUACCAUCGGGGCUUGCAUCAGUCAACGUUAUGUAUGGACAACGAUACUCUACUUUCCUCACCUUCAUACGACGCCCGCCCAACUGUCGGAAGCCAGUGUGGAUGGCAGAAAUCAGUGUUCUGAAAUUCCAUUGCGGAUCAAGGCAAACACUCAUUUUUUCACCGUGUCCAUAAAAUACAAGACCACAAACAGACAUUAUGAACUAAAGAAAGGAUUUGGUGGUGUGAGUUUCAUUUCUACCAGUUNNNNNNNNNNNNNNNNNNNNNNNNNNNNNNNNNNNNNNNNNNNNNNNNNNNNNNNNNNNNNNNNNNNNNNNNNNNNNNNNNNNNNNNNNNNNNNNNNNNNNNNNNNNNNNNNNNNNNNNNNNNNNNNNNNNNNNNNNNNNNNNNNNNNNNNNNNNNNNNNNNNNNNNNNNNNNNNNNNNNNNNNNNNNNNNNNNNNNNNNNNNNNNNNNNNNNNNNNNNNNCAACAACAACCAACACAAGUGGACCUUCAACUCCUCUAUUAACUUCACCACUAUGUGCCGAAAACAUACACUGGACAUCUUCAUCAUUUUCUAUACGAUCCAGGUAAUACAUGUACAUACCAUCGGGGCUUGCAUCAGUCAACGUUAUGUAUGGACAACGAUACUCUACUUUCCUCACCUUCAUACGACGCUCGCCCAACUGUCGGAAGCCAGUGUGGAUGGCAGAAAUCAGUGUUCGGAAAUUCCAUUGCGGAUCAAGGCAAACACUCAUUUUCUCACCGUGUCCAUAAAAUACAAGACCACAAACAGACAUUCUGAACUAAAGAAAGGAUUUGGUGGUCUGAGUUACAUUUCUACAAGUUCUGCUAUUUAUACAAAAAUUAAUAGUUGAAUACUCAGCCAAUCAUUGGCCGAGACAGUACAAACACAAAAACUUUUUGGCGGGAAAGAUAUCAUUCCCAAAAAAUGAUUGACAUUUUGGAGGGAAACAUAACAAUUUUAUUAUUAAUAUAUAAGACAUAAAUUAUUUCUAUUAUUAAUAUUCUAAAAAUUAAUCAUUUUUAUUAUUAGUAUUUCAAAAAUAAUAAUAUCACAAUUUUUUUAUUAUCAUGAAAAACUAUAAUUAUUUACAAUUUAUUUUAAAUAUUUUUUUAUAAAAAAAUUAUUAUUAUUUUUAAUUAAAUCAAUUAUAUUAAUUAUUUUUUUAUUAUCAUGAAAAACUAUAAUUAUUUACAAUUUAUUUUAAAUAUUUUUUUAUAAAAAAAUUAUUAUUAUUUUUAAUUAAAUCAAUUAUAUUAAUUAAAUAUAAAAUUAAUAAUUAAAAAUUAAUUAUAUUAAUUAUUAUUAUUAUUUAAUACAGUAUUUAAAAUAUUAAAAAAUAAAAAAAUCCUUCUUCAUGUCCUCGUCACUUGAAGUGACGAGCCCUAACUGCGUAAAUUGGGCCUUCAUCCCCUCGUCAUUUGAAGUGGCGAGCCCUAACUGAAAAAGGGAUAGAUUGAGAAAUUAUUUUCAGACUGGGGCAUAUUGGGUAAAAAAUUUCAAAUAGAGGGCAUAUGCAGCAAAAACUCACAACGGGUAUGUUGAGUCAACUGGUUGAUUGGUUGAGAGAGGUCACGCAAGCAUGAUGUGGCACUUGGCUGGAUGAGGGUAUAAAAGUUAUCUCCCUUUAGAAAUCUUCAUUUCCACUUCUCUCAUUCUCCCUCUCUUCAUUGCUCUCCCUCUCUCUUCUCUCCCCUCUUUCUACUUCGGCAACCCUCUUCCCCACCGUAUAUCCCCAGAAACCACCCACAAACCACCACAUUCAACUGAGAUCUUUAUGUUCAUCAUGAACAUGAAAAACACCCAACUCAGAAACCGACCCCUCACCAUCCUUUCCCCCAGAACCACCGAAUCUCCGGAUCUCGGGUUGAAGCUCAACCAGGAUCUUCAAUCAAUGUUCAUCUGGGUGAUGAACAUCAACCCAGAACCAAGAACCCUAACCCUAACAUUCAACCAAAACCCAGAAUCACAAGAACCAUAACCCUAACUGAAGAACCCUAACCUUCAAAAUCAAAACCCAAAUUCUCCUAACCUUUAUCAUGUUCAUCAUGAACAUGAUGAAUCUUCAUCCCUGAUCUCUGAACCAUAACCCAAAUUUCCAGAAAUCCCCACAAUUCACCCAAUCAUAACAAAAACAACCUUAAAUCAAAGGUCGUAACCUCUUUAUCAAUAAUUAACCGCCAAAAUAAAUAACAAAACAUCCUAAAACCAUGAAUCAAUCCAUCUGAACCCUAAUCCCCAAAUCAACCCCAAUCAUCAUACAUCAACAACAACAUCAAAGAGUCAACAAAAGUAAGCAAAUAAGUGAAGUUCUACCAACCUACAGAAUCGAGGAAUAUUCCAGUUCGAAAGGUAAUUACCUAGAGUCCUUUCUUAAUUACUUCUUUUAUUAUGCUCCUCUUCUAAUCCCUUUCUUAUUGUUAUGCGAGGUUUGAUGGUUGGCUAAGCUCAAAUAACUUAGGGUUUCAGUGUGAAGCCCUAAACAUCAAAUUUUGUUGAGCAUAUGGUGAGACUUUUAGGAUCAAUGUUGCGACUGCAAGUUCCAAGUCCUUAGGGUUUUCUUCGUCCCUGAUUGAAUUUUAGGUUUAUGUUUAUAUAAAUUAUUUUUUAGGGUUUUAGAUUUCAAUUCUGAUUGUAUGGUUUUAUAAGAUUAGGACCUGAUUGAUUAUGUAUUUGAUUUAGAUUGAUUUUGUGUUAUAAAUAGAAAUUAGGUUUGAAUUGUAACAGACAUUGACAAUUUAUGUAGUCCAAUUUUGAUUGAUAUUCACGAUUUGAAUGUAUAUGAAAUAAAAACAGAAAUUUUGGAUUGGUUUUAAAAUUGCAGUUUUCGAUUUGUUCUGAAAAUGGUUUUGCGCAAGUCAGGGUUUAGAUUAGGGAAGAAGCUGAACCUGAGUCAUGAGCUUGCCCCGGUUCAGUGAUGGAUCUUUGGUCUAGCCUGACCCAGUUCGAUUGUGGUUUUGAAUCCUCUUGGUCUGACCAUCACUUGGGCCAAAUAACGAUAAUCAAGAUAUAACAAAAAAAUAAUUGGCACGUCCAUAAUAAUAAUAUAACAAA